rnacentral:lncRNA from 1 species
ACCACCUCCAGUUUACAAGUACAACUCACCUCCACCUCCUCCCCCAGUUUACCUGUCUCCACCUCCACCCUAUCAUCACUACUACGGUUCUCCUUCUCCUCACCACUACUAAGCAAGUGCAUAAGUUUUGAGGUAAUAAUACCUAUCCAAAACUUUAUCAACACAAACUGCCAUGUAUAUCAUGCUAAGGACGUACACUUGAUCCAUGAAAAUGACUAGUAGAAGAUUUUUUUUAAGAACCAAAGAAAUACAUUAUUUUUUCGGUCUGUUUUCAAGAAUUUGAGCAGUAUACAGAUUAAAGAGUGUUUUUUUUUUUGUAAACUUGCUUGUCAACUUAAAAAUGCACAUAGCUGAAAGCCAACUGAAUAUUUGCAGGCAAAGGAGAAGGCAAUCGGUGUUUGAGACCUUCAAGAAGAUGUAGAAGAAUAAGAAUAAAAGCCCAAUGCGAGGAUGAUUCCAAGUUUCUACGUUACCAUUUCUACAUCUAAAUUGACUUUAGCUCCUGAGUUCCAUGUUUAUGGGGUUUGUACCGUUUUACGUACCAUGCAGUACAUGCUUGCAAGGUUUUCUGUCCUGUUGGCAAACUGCAGGUCCAUAUAAUAAAUGAAUACUAUUUACAUUACGACACUUUUCUCUUUUUCUCUUAUAUUUUGUCUUUAAUAUUGUUGAUCAUUUUUUUUUUAUCAAAAGCAUCAAAUGCUUAGGUAAUUUGGUCUAAUGCUAAUUGUUUUACUUUUAUUUUUCACCUACACCCCUUUUCAACUCAAAGGAUGCUAUAGUUUGUGAUAAUUGUUUAAGACCGAAGCAUGAUACUAAUAAAUAUCUCAUUGAAAGUCAAGGAAACUAACAUUAGGAAAAGUUUAAAUCUUGAUUUGAUGAAACUAUUUAUUCGUGGAAUUUAGAGAUACAAAACUCAAAUUGUGACGGUGUUGUUGCUAAAUUAUUAAGGACAUUAUCACCAUUAUUUUUCCCUGAUCACUAGUUUCAACUGCAAUGAUCUCAAUCUUUUUGUGACUAAUUCUUUCCUUAAUAAUUUAUAAAGACAAAACUCACAAAGAAUAUGUGACUAAUUCUUUCCUUUCGUCUUCUAAAGAAAAUGCCAACUGUUAGUUUAUCAAGGGGAAAAAGGAUCGACAUCAGUUAUUAUUGAAACUAGUAAGGAAUAAAUAAUGGUGAUAAUGUCCUUAAUAAUUUAACAACAGCACCAUCAGAAUUUGACUUUGAGCUUCGGUCUUAAACAAUGAUCACAAACUACAGCAUCCUUUGAGUUGAAAAAGGAAGUAGGUGAAAAGAAAAGUAAAAAAUACAAUUAGCAUUCCCUCAAAUUGUAGAAAGUUAGGUAGCAUUAUAGACAAGUUGAUAGCGGCAAUUUUACAUUUCAAACUUCACCUAUUCAAUAACUAAUUCGAUGGCUUGCUACAUGGUCAAUCUUUGGACCCCUUCCUGCCUCCAGAUAUCCCUUUCCUCAAUCAGGGGCUUCUACAAUUACCAGUUUCAAUUGUAUGGUAUAGUGUAAAUAUCAACAAAUUAGAUGUAGAUGCUAACAUAAUAAAUGUGAAUGCUAAGACAGCAACAUACAAUCGAACCUGCAAUUGUAUGAACCCCAAUCUCGCUUCCUAGUCCACCAUCUUUCUCUAGGUAAUAAUCUCCCUUCUAAUUUAUUCACAAAAUGCACCUUUCAUCACCUCCAAUAGCGUCGACAUGAUCUUUACCCUAGAAGACUAUUCACCGACUCUCAAUUGACGUCAGAAAAUCUAAGAGUAAUUCUACUUUACCCUAAGAUUGAUAUCAACAAGACAAGGACAAUUUAGAAUUAUUACACGCCUCUUCUUAAUAGGAAAAAGAAAUAGAGAAGAAAGUCAGGCCAGGUCUAAUUUCUUUUCAAAGGCAAUACAACAUUACGAAAUCAAGCAUUCAUUCAUACAAAUAUUUCAUAGUCACCGGUUUGCUGAGUAGAAAAAUUUAGACAAAAACUUAAUAUUAUAUUGUUUAAGAGUUAACAAUUUAGAGCUUAAUCUCCUUGUACUUUGGAGUUAACAAUUUAGAGCUUAAUCUCCUUGUACUUUGGACUAAACUUGAACGUGAAAGGAAAUCCCAAAACCAUAUUGGGCAUGAAUUCACACUUAAUAUACCCAAUAAAAGAUGGCGACUGGUGAAAGGCAGUGGAGACUGGUGGAGAGAUUUGAGGAAUAGAAGCAGACGGAAAAGCAACAAAUUUUUGCCGAAAAACGGUCACUUUCAUGGUUAAUUUUGCUACUCUCCAAUUGUACUUGACCAAUUACAACAAUUUCAUGGAGUUUGAUACGUGAAAAGAAUUUUUUAUAAAUUUUAUUUUGAUCCAUAAUGUUAUCUUUACAUAUAUAAAACAUUUUACAAUUUUGAUUUUGGCGCAGCUAACUUUUGGUUAACAAAAAUGCUCAUGUUUAAAAAACCAGAAAUAAAACAAAACAAGAAACAAAAGAAAUAAGAGGGUAGCAUAGACAUUUUGGAUUUUUCCGUUAAUUUGGAUGAUUUCCACCCACGUUCUAAUUUAAUCCAAAACACAAAGGAAUUACGUAGAGGUUUUAAAUAAUCAGGGAGCUUCAUGAUCGAACCCCAAACCACGUGAUAGCAUACAAGAGUUCUAUUUCACUAUCGGUAGACAAAGACUUUCUAUGGUUGAUGUACCGUAGGAAAAAAUCUGCCUAUACAACGUGAUAGCAUUUUUUCAAAAACACAAGAUGGAAAAUUGCCCCCUUAAACGUGGAAAUUCAUGAUCUUUCCUCGAACAAAGAAUACUCACGCCUAUUCAAGAUGGAAAAUUGCCCCCUUAAACGUCUAUUUGUCAAUUCUUGAAAAAAGAAUACUCACGCCUAAAACACGGCCUCUUCAUCUGCAGAAUUCUAAAAAGUUACGUAAACUCUAUAAACAAGUUGAUAGGUACAAUCGUACCCAAGAUCAAGUACAGAUAGUUGUACAUUCACUGCUGCAAUAACUAAUCUGAUGACUUACAAACAUAUCAUGGUCAAUCGUUGAAUGGUAAUGAGUCUUUUGUUAUGCAUUAGUAUUAGUGUGUACACUCUAAUAGAUUGAUACUUAUACUCUUUAAAUUAUCAUAAUAAUACCCUUAAUUAACUUUAACUCUUAAAAAGAAUACGUGUUAAUACACGAGAGUGUGUAACCUGAAUUGUUACUUAUACAUUAGUGUGUAAUAGAUAGGGAUGGCAGUGAGGGCGAGUGCCCGCGGGGGGCUCUCGGGGCGGGGGCGGGGGAGAAUUUUUUCCCCCCGUUUAGAAACGGGGCAGGGGACGGGGGAGUAUACCCCCGCCCCAUCCCCCGCCCCGCCACCCGCAAAAAAAAUUAUAUAUAUAUAAUUAUAUAUAAUAUGUAAUUUAAUUAGUUAUAAACUUAUGAUAAUGAUAUUAUUAGUUAGAUGUAUUAUAUAAUGUAUAUUAGUGUAUGUAAUAUAAUUAAUAUUAUCAAUUAUACGAAUAAUUAGACAUGUCCACUAAUAGAGUUUAUUAAUUAGUUAUACUAAAUUUACUAAUACAUUUGUACUAAAUUUCUAAUUACACUUAAUAGAAUAACACUUUUUUCUAAAAAAAAAAGCACAAACACAAUAAUGAAUUAGUGAUUGUAUUUGUACCAAAAGUGAAAACUUAACUAUUUUAGUUGUAUUUAUUUCAUCAUGUUGGAUUGUAUUCAAAUAAUUUUUGUUUGAUUGUUUUUAUGAGUUUCAAUUGUAAAAUUAAAAUGAAUAAUAACUUGAUGAUGUGUUGAUAUUUUAGUACUUGAUUAUUUAUUGAUUUAACUAUAAUAAAAUUUUAUUUUAUUAAAAUUUAACUAUAAUAAAAUUUUAUUAACCAAACGAGUUAUUAAUCCCGCGGGGGCACCCACGGGGGAAGCGGGGCGGGGCGGGGGAGUGGGAGGCGGGGGACGGGGCGGGGGUGGGGGGAGUUGUAGGUAGCGGGGCGGGGGAUGGGGGAGGGGUCCCCCGCCCCAACCCCGCCAUCCCCCGCCCCGUUGCCAUCCCUAGUAAUAGACUGGCAAGCAUUGUGGUGGUCAUUGAGAACUUACUGGAGAAAUAGUCCUAUAAGCUGUUCAAUGAGCAAUCACAACUUGCUAAUUGGAUGACUAAUAUAGCUCUAGCUGUAAUGUUUUAAUUAAAUUACAUCACUAACGUUGGGAUGACUUUUUAACCAAAAAAAAAUGCCUUAGUUCAAGCUUUUCCCUUUAUUGUGCAUUUUUUAAAGCAUUUGAUAGGCACUGCAAAUCUGUCAUUUUGGACAUUUUAUUAUUGACUAACAAUGAAAGCCGUGACGUCUACCCAUAACCAACACAAGAUUAAAUUAAUAUUAGAAAAAAUAAUUGAGUAAUUGGAAAAAAAAAAAGAGACUCAUUUUCAUUGAAACCCACCGACAAACUAAACGUGUCCAUGGCUUUUGAAUAGUGCAUUCAACGUUUAAUUGUAUAGUCCAGUUCAUUGCAGAUUACAUGGAGUAAAGAUUGUGCUCUUUCCUUUUUCACCCCUUUUGGAAUCGAUACUGUGGAGAAUUGGGUUUUUCCCUUCUUUUUUUCUUUUCUUUCCUUCUGUGCUUUGCAAAACAUAGGUAAAAAUAUGAAAUCCGAAGCAUUCUUUAAUUGGGAUUAAGUAUUGUUGUUGAAAUUAAAAAGAAAAAAGAAAGAACAACAAAAUUCCCAAUCUGGGUUGAUUGUUGAGCUCUAGAUUGGUUGCAUCGUGCUUCCAUAGAAGCUCUCUUAGUGUGAUACACUGCUUUCAAUCAGUUUAACACGGGAAAAAAAAAAAAAGAGAUGAAAAGCAAAUUUGGUGGGGAUAAUUUCAGAAACCUCCCCUGAAGAUUUUGACUAUUCUACUGGUCUCCCUUCAGAUUUUAAAAAUUACACUAAUCUUCCUUGAAGUUAAUUAUCUUGUAACAUUUAAAUUCAAUCAAUAAUUUAAAAAAUGAUAUUAUGAGAGAGAAAAUAAUGAUUUUAUCAUUGCCCCCCAUCUUACUACAUUAUUUAAUUAAUUUAAUAGCAACCCACACAUUAAAGAAAAAUAUUAAAAUUUGUUGUUUAUCAUUAAAGAUCAAAUCGCUUAUAACAUCAAAUAAUAGUAUAUUAUUUAUAUUUUUCACUCAAUAUAAUAUCCAAAUUACUCUUUUCAAUUACAUACCCAUUGUUAGACAAUCAACAACAAAUAACCAAAAAAUUUGCAACCAAAAUAUUACAAAAAAAUAAACUUUAACAUAUAAAUAUUCUUAUCAACAUAUUAAAGUUAGUUACUGAAAUUUUUAUGCUGUUAAACUUCACUCUUUUUGGUUACAGAUUUUUUUGAUUAUUUGUUAUUAAUUAUGUUUGAUGAUGGAUUUAUAAUUGAAAAGAACAAUUUGAAACUUACAUUAAGUAAAAUAUAUAGAGUGAUAUACUAUUUUUUAUAACAUAUGUGAUUCAAUCCUUCUUGAUAGGAUUGGUAAUAGAGGUAGAGGGGGGAGCCGGCUGCAUCCGGUCUACUUUUCAUAGAUAGUACAAUAUUGCGAAAUCGAUCGCAUUCACGCAAUAUUAUUUCCAAGUCAUUGCAUGGCUAAGCUGCAAAAAAAGUACGAACACAUGUUAUUAUAUAGCUUACGAUUCAAAACUUUAGAGCAUAACCCUCCACCUAACACAAUUGAAUAAUGAACAUUCACGUUUGUCAAAUCUGUCAAAGCACAGUUUGAGGACAACCCAUUCCAACCUGCAAAAGAUUUUUUACUUUUCUAAAGUUGUUGAGAGCUGUAAAAAGACUUACCAUGCUUGCAUCCUCCGAGCCUUGGGAGUUAAAAAUGAAGGCACUGAGUGCUAUAAAAAGGGGAAUAGAGGCUGCCUAGAAGCAUAUCAGCCUAAAACAAGAAUUUGUAGUUAAGAUGGGAAGCAAAGCAAAAGCAAUGGGGUCUGGGCUGACUCCUCUUCUUGCCACUGUUUUAGUGGUGUUUGUUGCUCUUGGCUUGCCCUCACAAACUGCAGCUGAUGAUCACUACAAGUAUUCAUCUCCUCCUCCUCCUUACCACUAUCCCUCACCACCACCACCAGUGCAUAUACCUCCACCUCAUCCUGUUUACAAGUACAAAUCUCCACCACACCCCCAGUACAAGUAUAAGUCACCACCACCACCUCCUCAUCCGGUAUACAGUCUCCUCCGCCACCACACACCCAGUUUACAAGUACAAGUCACCACCACCACCUCCUCAUCCGGUACCACACCCAGUUUACAAGUAUAAGUCUCCUCCGCCACCAGUUUACAAAUACAAGUCUCCUCCACCACCACCUCCAGUGUACAAAUACAAGUCUCCACCACCACCAGUUUACCACUACAAGUCUCCACCACAGUUUACAAAUACAAGUCUCCACCACCACCCCCAGUUUACAAAUACAAGUCUCCACCACCACCAGUUUACCACUACAAGUCACCACCACCUCCUCCCCCAGUUUACAAAUACAAGUCUCCACCACCUCCUCACCACUACUAAGCAAUUGCUUCUGAGGUAAUAACACUUGUUCAAUAUACCCACUUCUGCAUGAUAAAGCAUAUCUCUAUCAACACAAACUGUCAUGUCUAUCAUGCUAAGUGCCUUCACUUCAUCCACCAAAAUGACUGCUAGAAAAUUUUUUUUAUGUUACCAAAGAAAGGCAUCAUUUUUUCCCUCUGUUAUCAAGAACUUGUACAGUAUAUAGAUUAAAGAGUAUUUUUUUAACUAGCUUAUCAACUGAGAAAUGCAUAUAGCUGAUAGCCAGCUGAAUAUUUGCAGGCAAAGGAGAAGGAAACCAGUGUUUGAGACCUUCUUGAAGAUGUAGAAGCAUAAGAAUUAAAGCCCAAUGUGAAGAUGAUGAUUUCAAGUUUUUCUACGUUACCAUUUCUUUAUCUAAAUUGGUUGUAGCGCCUUAGUUCCUUUGUUUAUGGGAUUUGUAUCGUUUUACGUACCAUGCAGUACAUGUCAUGUUUGUAAGGUUUUCUAUCCUGCCGGCAAACCGCAGGUUCCAUGUAAUAAAUCAAUACUAUUUAUAUUACGACACUUUUCUCUGUUUCUCUUAUAUUUUGUCGUCUUUAAUAUUCUUAAUCAUAUUUUUAACAAAAAUAUUCAAACACUUAGGCAAUCUGGUCUAAUGCUAAUUGUAUGUUUUACUUUUCUUUUUCACCUGCUCCCCUUUUCAACUCAAAAGGAUGCAAUAGUUUGUGAUCACUGUUUAAGACGGAAGCAUGAUACUAAUGAAUAUCUCAUUGAAACUCAAGGAAACUAACAUUGCGAAAAGUGUAAAUCUUGAUUUGAUGCAACUAUUUAUUCGUGGAAUCUAUAGUUACAAAACUCAAAUUCUGACUGCGCCAUUGAUAAAUUAUUAAUGACGCUAUCAUCAUUAUUUAUCCCUAACUAGUUUCGACUACAACUGAACCCAAUAUUUUCCCCAUGAUAAAAGUUUUUGACUAUUUUACUGGCCUCUCUUCAAAUUUUAAAAAUUACACUAAUCUUCAUUGAGAUUAAUUAUCUUGUAACAUUUAAGUCCAAUUAAUAAUUAAAAAAUGAUAUUAUGAGAGAGAAAAUAAUAUAAUUUUAUCAUUGCCCCCCAUCUUGCUAUAUUAUUUAAUUAAUUUAAUAGCAACCCACACAUUAAAGAAAAAUACUAAAAUUUGCUGCUUUUCAUUAAAGAUCAAAUUGCAUAUGCCAUAAAACAUAGUAUAUCAUUCUAUAUGUUUCACUUAAUGUAAGAUCCCAAUUGUUCUUUUCAAUUACAAACCCAUUGUCAAUAACAAAUAACCAAAAAAUUUGCAACCAAAAUAUUACAAAAAAAAACUUCAACAUCAUAAAUAUUCUUACCACCUCUAGUGCAUUCACCCUCAUAAAAUAAUUCAAGACCCUACUGUCAUAAAAUGACUGAUCAACUCCCGUAAACCUAAUUUGACAACAUUUAAAUGGAGAACUUUAGCUAAAAGAAUUAUGGUCAAGCUAAAGAAAAAACCAGUUAUUUUCCAACAUAUGCAAUCAUUGAUCAGGGAAAAAAAAAAGAGCAAAAAGACAUCUUCAAUCAUUUAAUAGCUUACAGGGCAAAUUAACCCCUAAGCGAAAACUGGUUGCUCUAGAAUCAAAAUUUUACUUUAGUUACCCAGGCAACUUUUUUGUUGCUUUUUUUUUUUUUUUCCUUUAGUUUUGCCCCCUCUGUCAAGCUUAUAAAAUUAUUAAGAUAAUAAAAGUGCCUUGAAUAGUAUUAAUAUAUCCAUUGACUUGAGCUGUCGUCAGUUUGCGAUUCCAUGAGGCCUUUUCAAAGUACUCAGAAAAUGGGGAGUCAUGAAAUCCAUUUGUUCUAUUCAUUGCUAAGAUGCUUUUCUCUAUAAAGAGACUUCCUAACGAAAAUACUUUGUAGAUUUCUUUACUCCAAGUGGUGCAUGGAAAAUUAAUAUUUUCAAUUAUCAAAUAAAAUUCCCUUUUUUCGGCGUAGAUUUCAUCCAUCCAGCUGUUAACACAUUCUAUAAAUCCGAAUUGACUAAUCUUUUCGUUUCCAUUUUCCAACUUGCGAAUACGGCAUAUAGUGUCUGCUAAACACUAUAUAUUCUCUGCCAAAUAUGAAUACAUAUCACUUUUCUGAGCAAGUGCAGAGUCAUUAUCAUUUUUAUUCCCACCUAACAAAUUAGGGAUAAAAAAGUUAAUAAUCUUUACAUGCUAUCAGGUCACAAGUUAAUAAUCUUUUAAAGAACAUGUUAAAUUAAUUUAUUGGUAUGAAUAGUAGUCAAAGAAGUAUGUUAAAGUUAGUAAUCUUUAAAAUAAUAUGUUAAAAUCAUUCGUACAAAUUAGUCAGAGAAGUAGCAUAAACACCGCGAUGCAAUUAAUACUUUCAAUCUCAAGGUCUCUAUUAUGGAAAUUUGCAUCGGUCAAUAUACACUUGGCAUAAUAUAAUCUCCCAACUCAUUUCUUUACAAAUGCACCUUUAAUCACCACCAAAAGGUGUGGACAUGAUCUUUACCCUAGAAAACUAUUCACCGACAGGCAAAUUGACGUCAGAAAUACUGAGGAAUUCUAGUUUCCUUCGGGUUCAUGCCAUGUUGUAUCCUUCAACUGUAACUCGAUUUCUAAGCUGUAAUUUGUGACAUAAUAGUCCUUAAACUAUGAAACCCUUCUUACUUAAUUACAAUGGUUAAUACAAUGCCCGUGACUAGACAAGUAUGAAGCAACCAUAACAGAAAAAAAAUCCAAAAUUAGAGAAAAGAAAGAAGUUUCGCGACCACCACCAGUUUACAAGUCACCUCCACCACCUCCUCCAGUUUACAAGUCACCUCCACCACCUUACCAUUAUUCCUCACCACCACCUCCAGUGCAUUCACCCCCACCACCACCAGUUUACAAGUCUCCGCCACCACCUUACCAUUAUUCCUCACCACCACCUCCUGUGCAUGCACCUCCACCACCAAUUUACAAGUCACCUCCUCCAGUUUACAAGUCUCCACCACCACCUUACGAUUAUUCCUCACCACCACCUCCAGUGCAUUCACCCCCACCACCACCAAUUUAUAAGUCUCCCCCACCGCCUCCCCCAGUAUAUAAGUCACCACCACCACCUCCUCCAGUAUACAAAUCACCUCCACCACCUCCUCCAGUUGACAAAUCUCCACCACCACCAAUUUAUAAAUACAAGUCUCCUCCACUACCUCCUCCAGUGUACAAGUCAUCACCACCACCUGCUUACAAGUCUCCACCUCCUCCAGUUUACAGUUCCCCACCACCACCAAUCUACAAGUCUCCACCUCCACCCUACCAUUACUACUACAAUUCUCCUCCUCCUCCUCGUCACUACUAAGCAAUUGUAUCCAAGUUUUUGAGGUAAUAACGCUUAACCAAUAAAUUAACUUUCGCAUGAUAAACCUUAUCUCUAUCAAGACAAACUGCCAUGUGUAUCAUGCCAAAUACGUACACCUAGAUCCAUGAAAAUGAAUGGUGAGGAGGGCCAUUUAGGCUCGGAGCGCCCUAGGCCUAGUUCCCCACCAUUUCCUGAAGUGCCGCCUCGGGUAUUAUCCUGGAAGGCGAUCGCGGCCCAUUUACCACCUCGGCUACAAUGUCAGGUCGUAACACCGAGGUGGACAUUGAAUGACAACUACGAAAAGGGGAGAUGUGAUCUCUGACACCUGAGCAAAGGCUGCUCUGACCCGCCGCCUGAAUCUGACAGAAUGUCCCAUCACGUCUCUUCAUGGAGACCGGUCAAGUCCACCUGAUCCACUGACUAUCUCAGAUCUUUUGGGACCCGUGCAAACAUCUCCUCUCUCCUAUCAGUCCCCUAUAAAUACACGAUACUUCUACUGAAAAAGGAGAUGACCAAUUUCUGGUAAAACACACUCCACUCAUUAUUUACUUCUCUAUAUCCGAACUGACUUAAGCUUCGGAGUUAUACCGGGGGAUCCAGCCCCUUUCUUAUCCAAGCAGGUGACUUCGUCCAAGAGAGUUGCCCAAGGUAAAGAUAUUCUUCCAAUUGAGGUGACUCACUCCUGCGGGUCGAAAAUCACCUCUUCAAUUGGCGCCGUCUGUGGGAACCGCAAAGAUAUUAGAAGAUGAAGCCUGCGCGUUCUAGAAGCAGAAAAGCUCUCACUAUCGAGGCUGGGCAAAGCAAUGCAGCUCAACAAGAAAAUAUUUCUGAAGGGCAGGAGUCCCCAAGGACUCAGCCCGCAAACGAAAAAGCCAUAACCCGUAUGGCCGAGUUUGUGACCGAGAACCCCAACAUCUUUGAAGAGUUGGGAAGAUACCUGAAGAGGCAAGGCAAACAAAAGGCCGAGUCCUCUAAAAGGAUGUCAGAUGGGUCUCUUGAGGACUCAUCUGAGGAGGAGUCGGAUGGAAGGCACUUAAGCCGAAGUGCCUCAAAGCGAGCAUUUUCUAAGGCCACUUCUAAGGUAGCCUCCCUGACCAAGGCGUUUUCCCGAGGGCUCUUGGGCCGACGACCCGAGGAAGAACCUCGGCCCUUGGGAAUACCCGGGGUGGACUGCAUGAGGGCUCCACCGUUCACGGAUGAUAUAAACGAGGAAAGGCUUCCUCCCAAUUUUAAGCUCCCCGCAGUACAAUCUUACGAUGGCCGAGGUGAUCCCGAGAAUCACAUCCAUACCUUCAUCUCGGCCUUCCAAAUAUACUGCAUCCCAGACCCUGUCAUAUGUCGGGCCUUUCCAGUAUUCCUCAGAGGAACUGCUCGAAAAUGGUUCUGAGCUCUAGAACCUAGGAGCAUUUCGACCCUGGGUGAAUUAGUGGAGAAGUUUCUCCACCGAUUUGUCUCCUCCCGACCUACGACUAGGACCUCGGCUUACCUGCUCACCGUGCAGCAGAACCCGGGAGAGUCACUCCGGUCGUACGUCCGGAGGUUCCAUGAGGAAAGCGUUCAGAUACCUGACCCCAAUGAGCAGGUAACCCUCGCUGCCUUUACCCAUGGACUCGUUGCCGGGGAGUUCAAUACGGGGAUCCAUAAAAAAUACCCCCGCACACUGCAUGAAUUGUGGUUGAAGGUUGAAAAGGGCAUACAGGCCGAAGACCUCCAUCGCAUGAAGAAAGAGGUCCAAGCCACCCGUCCAAGGGCUGAGCCCAGAAAGGGAAAAGACGCUGGCCGAACUGAAGUAGGGUCGGGAAGUGGCUUCCGAAGUCCUGGCCGAGACCGCCGCAGCGUGUUCGACAGGAUAUCCAAGGGGAAGUCACCUAUUCCCGAGUCCGAGUUGACUCCUUUAAAUACUACCCGAUCUCACGUGUUGUCCGUGAUGGAACAAAACAACCUCGGCAAGGGCCCGCCGAGGAUGUUUGGAAGCAGAGACAAGAGGAACUCGAACCUCUACUGCUUGUAUCAUCGUGACAUUGGUCACGAAACUGAGGAUUGCAACGAUCUCAAGAAGGAGAUCGAGAACCUCAUUAGACGGGGACACUUGAAACAGUUCAUCCGCAGAGGUGGAGGUCACCAACGUGACGAAAACCGGCAUGACAAAUGAGGUGACCAACGCCGAGAUGAGCGGCGGAGCUCCAGAAGCAGUUGCCGACCUCCUGAGGAUCCCAGGGAGACGAAAAGGCCUCCCCCAGACGGAUCUUCGGGACAUGGGCCAACCAUUGCCCGGGUCAUUAACACCAUUGCCGGAGGUCCGACGGGAGGGGACAGUCAGAACUCCCGGAAGAGAACCUAUAAGCAGGCUAACCCGGAUCAGGCCGAGUCGAGUUCUCGCCUGUCCGAGGUGAUCACCUACGGGCUCAGUGAUCCCAUCCCAGCUGCAUCCAGCAGUCAUGAAACCUUGGUGAUUGAAGUCCUCACCAAUAACUACAUUGUGAAAAGGUCUACAUAGACCCGGGAAGUUCAGUUGACGUCAUGUACCUCCGUACCUUUGAGAGCCUUAAAAUGGCUAAGGGGUGCAUGACCCCGCUGAGAACCCCUCUUGUAGGGUUCGGGGGACACGUGGUGCACCCCGAAGGGAUGGUGACUCUGACAGUGACCAUAGGGCAUCACUCUCGCUGUAGAACCGUCCCUGUCAAUUUUGUGGUGGUUAAGGCUGACUCCCCAUACAACCUACUUUUAGGUCGGCCUACGCUCAAUGCCUUGCGGGCGGUCUACUCCACCUACCACCUGAGCUUCAAGUUUCCUACCCCAGCAGGGGUGGCCGAGGUCAGCAGCGACGUCUGUGCUGUCCGGGAGUGCUACCUCGCCACCCUACAAGCAGCCUCCCCGUCUACCUCCGGUGCGAGGUCCGAGAAGAGGUCAAAUAUCCUCUCAAUAGAUAGCAUCGAUCCUCAGUGAGCUGAGAAGGUCCCGAGGCUGGAGACUGGGGAUGAGGUGGAAGAGAUUCCCCUGGACCCCACGAAACCUGAUCAGACAGUUCGCGUUGGUACCCGAUUGCCCGGUCCUAUCCGAAGAGGUAUGAUGGACCUCCUCAGGGAAUACCGGGACGUCUUUGCUUGGGCCGCCGAAGAGGUCCAAGGAGUCCCGCACCAUCUCAUGAUGCAUGACUGAACGUCGACCCCCAAGUCCGUCCGGUCAAACAGAAGAGAAGGCACAUCGGCCCUGAGCGCAGCCAAGCUGUUGGUGAGGAAGUGGACAAGCUUUUACCCGCUAAAAUAAUCCGAAAAGUCCAAUACCCGAUCUGGUUGUCUAACUCGGUCAUGGUCAAGAAGGAUACGGGGGCUUGGAGAAUGUGCGUCGAUUUUACCGACCUCAACAAAGCCUGCUCCAAGGAUUGCUACCCCUUGCCCAAAGUCGAUACUUUGGUAGACUCAGCAAUGGGCUACGAGAUCCUCUGUUUCUGGGAUGCAUUCAAAGGCUAUCACCAAAUUGGGAUGAGUCAAGAAAACCAGGAGAAAACGGCCUUCUACACCGACCGCGGCACGUACUGUUAUACUACCAUGCCAUUCGGGUUGAAGAAUGCCGGAGCCACUUAUCAACGCUUGGUCAACCAAGCAUUCAAGUCUCAAAUCGGCCGGAAUGUUGAGGCCUAUGUAGAUGACAUCCUCCUCAAAAGCCAGACGAACUCCACCUUCCUGGCCGACUUGAAGGAGGUCCUUGACAUCCUGCGGAAGGUGAAAAUGAUGCUGAACCCCAAGAAAUGUGUUUUUGGGGUCACCUCGGGGAAAUUUCUAGGUUACCUCGUCUCAAGGCGAGGUAUCGAAGCAAAUCCGGAUAAGGUGCGAGCCAUCCAGGAGAUGUCUCCACCCCGGUGCGUCCGCGAUGUCCAAAGGCUGACAGGGCGAUUAGCCGCCCUGAAUCGGUUCUUAUCGCAGUCGGCAGCUAAAGCACUGCCCUUUUUCAAAGUGUUGAAGAAAGCUGACCAUUUCUCCUGGACGGAAGAGUGUCAACAGGCGUUUGAGCAGUUGAAGGAUUACCUUCACUACCUUCCAACGCUCACCUCACCUCGUCCGGGGGACAAAUUAAUCUUAUACCUUUCUGCUGCGGCCGAAGCGGUGAGUGCCGUGCUGAUAAGGAAGGAAGGGGUCCAAAUGCCCGUCUACUACGUUAGCCGAGUCCUCCGAGGUCCAGAGACCAGGUACACACAAGCAGAGAAACUUGUGCUAGCCCUGAUCCACGCCGCCCGCAGACUCAAGCCCUACUUCCUAGCUCACCACGUCUGCUUGAGGACUGAUCAACCACUUCGGCAGAUUUUGACACGACCAGAGGUUUCGGGACGUCUUACCAAAUGGGCCAUUGAGCUGGGGGAGUACGACCUAACUUAUGAGCCUCGCACAGCGAUCAAGGCCCAGGCUCUCGCAGACUUCGUAGCCGAGCUCACCUUUGACGAGGUGCAAGGAUCCGUCCCGGCUGCCACAUCGGCCACAGUUGAUGUGGCCACCACUGGGCUCCAGCGGUGGAUCCUACACGUGGACGGUUCGUCAACAGUGAGGGUAGUGGAGCAGGCUUGCUCCUCGAAGACCCCCAAGGAGAAAUAUGCUAAUAUGCCUUAAGAUUUGACUUCGCUGCUUCAAACAAUGAAGCUGAAUACGAAGCCGUCAUUGCUGGACUGCAGCUAGCUCGCAAGCUCGGGGCCGCACACAUCUUGGUUUAUAGUGAUUCCCAACUCGUCGUGUGCCAGAUAUUAGGUGAGUACGAAGCCAGGGACGAGGUGAUGCAUCGUUACCUCUCCAAGGUCCUCCAGUUGGCGACUCACUUCGAGUCUUUUGAAAUUCAAAGAAUACCGCUAUCGAAAAACAGAAGGGCUGACGCCCUCUCCCGGCUUGCCUCAACCUCUUUCUCUGACCUGAACAAGACGGUUCUCGUUGAAGUUCUAGCCGAACCAGGAUAUGUAGCCGAGGUAGUAUACCCCGUCUACCCUGGGGACACCUGGAUGGGUCCCCUGACUCGAUUUUUCAGCCAGGGUGAGCUCCCCGAAGACCGAGCUGAGUCACGGAAGCUCCAACGAAAAGCAGCACGGUACAUUCUCCGACAAGGCCUUUUAUACAAAAGGUCUUACCUCGGCCCUUAGUUGCGAUGUAUCACGCCCGAGGAAGGCCAGAGAAUCCUCCAAGACAUACAUGAGGGGCUCUGUGGUGCUCACGUCGGCUACAGAAUGCUGGUAAAAAAGGCUUUGUUACUUGGGUAUUUUUGGCCCACUAUGAGGAUAGAUGCCCAGGUCAUGGUCCUUUGCUGCCCCUCCUGCCAGCAUCACGCUCCUGAGCACCACCAGCCGACCAAUUUAAUGAUCCCUAUCACCUCGUCAUGGCCAUUUGAGCAAUGGGGAACGGACAUAAUUGGCCCCUUUCCCAGAGCUCCAGGCAAUUAUACCUACGUGGUGGUAGCAGUGGACUACUUCACCAAAUGGGUCGAAGCUGAACCCCUAAAAAAUAUCACUGGUGCGGCAGUCCAGAAAUUCUUCUGGAAGAAUGUGGUUUGCCGCUUCGGCCUACCCCGGGUGAUCAUCUCGGAUAAUGGCCGACAGUUCGCCGAUAAUCCUUUCAAGGCCUGGUGUGAGAACCUCGGGGUCAAACAGCAUUUCACUUCGGUGGGACACCCCCAAGCCAACGGACAAGCCGAAAACUUCAAUCGCACGCUCCUCCAUGGCCUCAAGACCAGGCUCCACCAGGCUGGAUCGUUUUGGAUGGAAGAGCUCCCCAGUGUGCUGUGGUCCUACCGAACUACGCCGAGAUCAGCAACCCAGGAAACCCCGUUUUCCUUAACCUACGGGUCAGAAGCUGUUGUUCCAGCCGAAUUCAUCACCCCGAGUCCACGAAUGGCCGCAUAUGCUGCCGAAGUCAAUGAAGAAGAACGGCGAGUUGACCUCGACCUCGUCGAAGAGAAGCGUGAUAUGGCCGCGGCCAAAGUUGCUGUUUACAAAAAUAUCGUAGCUGGCUACUACAACGCUCGGGUUAAACAUUUGCGGUUCAGUCCGGGAGACCUGGUGCUCAGGAAGAACUCAGUCAGCCGGGCUGAACCUCAGGGUAAACUAACCCCCAAGUGGGAGGGACCAUACCGUGUUGUUGAGUCCAGCCAAAAUGGAUAUUGUAAAUUGGCAUACCGAGAUGGGUCUCUGAGUGCCCCGAACUUGGCAUGCUGAAAAUCUUAAGUUGUACUACCCUUGAGGGUAUGUGCUUUUAAUCUUGAGUUAUUUCACACUUAUUUUCAUUUCAUUAUAAGUGAAAAAUAAGGGGACAAAGUAGCAGUAAAGAGGAAAACCGAAUUUAAUUAAAAAGAAAGCAAGAAUAUGAACUCAAUUCCAUUGAAUUACAUAAAAGUAGAAAGCCGAGGUCACCUUUAAUUAGGAAGAAAGCAAGAAUAUAAACUCAAUUCCAUUGAAUUACAUAAAAGUAGAAAGCCGAGGUCACCUUUGACCUCGGCCUACAAUGACAAAAAAAAAAACAAGUGCCUCUAGGCACUCCCUACCCUGACAUCCUGGCCCCCCGUGGUCGCGCCACCCGUUUCGGCACCCUGUCCACCCUCAGCUCCUCCACCGGCCUGGUCGUCUUCAGUACCAUCUAGUUCAAACUCCUGGAGCCAUUUGUUGAAUUCGGCUCGGACUUCGGUUAGGUCUUUCUCAGUCCGGAUGCCCUCAGCCAUGCUGUCGCAUAGCUCCUUGGCAUCCUCGUUAUAGUGCGAAGUGCUCUGAAGGGACUCCAGUUGUUCAGAGGGAAGAAAGGAUGCCGCGUCAUUAAUAGCCGACGUGUACCCGAACAUGAAGCUUGGCCGGGUGAGCUCGCCGAGGUCACGGAUGAAGGACUCUGACGUCCGGAAGGCUUCCACAGCAGUGACCCCGGCCUUGUCCAUGGCCUCCCUGUUUGACUGUUCUUCUUGGGCCCUCCUUUUUUUCUCCUCAUCAAGAGCAGUCACCAGGGAAUUGUUCGCGACCUCGGCCCUUUUGUUAGCCGCCUUGGCCUUGUCACGCUCCAACUCGGUUGCCUUCAGUUUUUCUUCCAACUCGGCAAUUCUCUUCUGGAGCUCGGCAGGAGGCUCAUAGUUUUCCAUGAACUUUCCAUACCGUUGAAUCAUCUCGACAAAAAAAGCCGUGGUAGAGGCCCAUGACACCGAGGCGCUCUGCAUCAACUCCCCUGCGGAGAGCUUCCUAGCAUAAGUGCUAUCUCGUGGCAGCACUGAAUGCACCAAGAGCUCCUGAGCGACCAAAGGGUUCUUGCAGCGAUCGUUGAAAUUAAUCUCCCACUCUGGACACCAGUGUGAUCCGGGGUGUCUCUUGUCCUCCUCAGCUGCCUUGAAAGGCACAUGAUGGAGUUUGAACAAAGAUGACCCCGUGACGGGGUUCUCCGGAAAUAUGGUCACACCCUGACCCCGGGGGGGAGUGGCAAUCGUGACCCAGCGAGAAGGGAUUCCCACCGGAAUUGCCGAGGCUCGGGAACCUCCCGGAGUGGCCGAGGUGUGCGAGCCCUCGCCCACGAUCACCACGGCAGGCUCGCGGUCGCCCGACGCCGCGGUGGUUUUCUUAGCCGGCCUGGAAGAGGACCCUGCAGUGUCCUUGCGCUUUUUGGGAGCUCUUUUGACCACCUCGACAUCUCCCGAGGUUAUCAGGUCGAAAAUCUUCGUCACUGCAAAGUAGGAGACGAAGUCAGUUAGAAUUCAAGAGGGAUAAACUAAAAGGGAAGAAAUGGAAAAAUACAAAGUCUGUGAAGCCUAGUCGAGAGUAAGACAGGCUGGUCAGAGCUCGUCAAGGCUCAACUGAUCCCGCCUUCCACGAGCACCACUUCGGGAAAAUCCCAGCAGUUUAUCCUGAGGCCCGACCCCGUUAACUUCUGGAAGUUACGCUCUUCUAACUUCCCUGGAGAUAUCUCCUUGAUCGAGGUGGGAGGCCUCCACCAGAAUCCGCGAGGGAAGUCAUCGGCCGAGACGAAGAAGAAGUUUUGCUUCCACUCCUUUAUUGAGUUCGGAGCAUCAACCACCAACUUCGGAACUUUGUUUCCGAAGUAGAACCAUCCUUUUUCACUUCUGCUGUUCUUGAGUGAGUAACAGCGGCGAAAGAGGUUGACCUAAGGUUGUAUCUCCUGAUGUCGGCAAAGUAGCUGGAAGCCAACGAGAAUGCGAAUAGCGUUAGGGGUGAGUUGAGUGAUUCUCACCCCCCAGUACCUCAGGCAGUCCCGAAGAAACCUCGUCGUGGGCACUCUGAGUCCGGCCUCCAGCUGUUCCUGAUAGAUAGUCACCUUGCCCUUUGGUGGCAGUGCGGCUGACUGAUGCGGUUGGGGUAUGUAAAUACUAUAAUCCCUUCUCCAGGGAUACCUGCGGACCACCUCGGCUAUUGAGGCUUGUCCCAUACCACUACUGAAGAACGGCAUCUGGCCGUAGUCGAGAGUUGCCACGUUUGGAGGAGUGGAAGGUUCUUGUACUCCCUCGUCUCUAGGGAUCUCAAUCCCGAGGUCAUCGUUGUAUAGGACCUCGGGCUGGACCUCGAUCUCCUCGGGCUGCACCUCAACCGCCUCAGCUCGGCGUGAUGCCUCGGCACCUCCACCCUCAGCUUGGUGAGAUGCCUCAGCACCUCCGCCCUCGGACGCGGUCCUUUCCUGGGAGGGGUCAGGCCUCUCUGCCUCAGUGAGGUCAGGUCUCACUGUCUCUUUGUGCGUACGAGCUGUUCUAGCCAUUGUAUCAGAAGGGGAAGAAGUGAACUUACUUAGAAUCUGCGACUGGAAGAAGAUGCCGAAGUAGACGUGGUUUAGAAAGGUUGCCGAAGUGAAAAGAGAAAGAAACAGAGUUCUGGGGUGAUUCUUGAUUUUUGGUGAAGAGUAAAACGGUGAAAAAAGACCACUAUUUAUAGGCCACCAGGGUGAAACCCAAGAGACGGCACCCUCUCUCUUCAUUAAUGGGAGGACUGUUCGUCUGCCAACACAGCUGACAGCCGUCCCUUCAGUUAUCACUCAGUCCCAUCUAUGCGGUCAUGACGUGUCCGUGUUCCGUGUUUUAUACGCUUCUCAGCUUCGGGAAGUAACGACCACGGCGGAUGCCCAUCUCGCCCUUCUCAAAGCUUGGGGGGCUUAGUGAGGAGGGCCAUUUAGGCUCGGAGCGCCCGAGGCCUAGUUCCCCAUCAUUUCCUGAAGUGCCGCCUCGGGUAUUAUCCUGGAAGGCGAUCGCGGCCCAUUUACCACCUCGGCUACAAUGUCAAGUCGUAACACCGAGGUGGACAUUGAAUGACAACUACGAAAAGGGGAGAUGUGAUCUCUGACACCUGAGCAAAGGCUGCUCUGACCCGCCGCCUGAAUCUGACAGAAUGUCCCAUCACGUCUCUUCAUGGAGACCGGUCAAGUCCACCUGAUCCACUGACUAUCUCAGAUCUUUUGGGACCCGUGCAAACAUCUCCUCUCUCCUAUCGGUCCCCUAUAAAUACACAAUAUUUCUACUGAAAAAGGGGAUGACCAAUUUCUGGUAAAACACACUCCACUCAUUACUUACUUCUCUAUAUCCGAACUGACUUAAGUUUCGGAGUUAUACCGGGGGAUCCAGCCCCUUUUCUUAUUCAAGCAGGUGACUUCGUCCAAGAGAGUUGCCCAAGGUAAAGAUAUUCUUCGAAUUGAGGUGACUCACUCCUGCGGGUCGAAAAUCACCUCUUCAAAUGGUAGAAAGUUUUCUUAAGAACCAAGAACAGCAUUAGUAUUCCCUCUGCUUCCAAAAACUUGUGUAUUAAAUAGAUUAAUGAAUUGUUUAACAUGCUCAUCUACUUGAAAAUGCACAAUACCCAUAACCCACUGAAAUUUUUGCAGGAAAAGGGAAAGAGAAUCUGUGUUUGAGAGCUUCAUGAAGAUGUUGAAGAAUAAGAAUAAAAGCCCAAUGCGAGGAUGUUUUCAAGUUUUUCUAUGUCCACUUUAAUUUGUAAAUUGAAUUUUACAACUCAAUUAAUUCCUUGUUUGUGAGGUACGUAUUGUUUUACGUACCAUGCCGUACAUGUUUGUAAGGAUUUCUAUCCUAUUGGCAAAAGUCGGUUCCAUACAAUUAAUCAAUUCAUUUCACUUCUAUUGGCUCUACUAUUUAUGCAUGUUACGACACUCUUUCCCUUAUAUUUUGCCUUUAAUAUUAUGAGUCAAUAGUAAUAAUGGGCCUUUUUCUUAAAAUUAUACUAUUAUACAUAGGUAGUUUGGUCUAACGCUAAAUUCAUGUUUGUCUUUCUUUUAUUCCCUUUACAUCUCAAAGUAUACUAUAGUUUGUAAUCAUUGUGGUGAUGAUAUUACCAGCUGGUACUUAUAGUUUAAGGCAGAGACAUGAUAUUAACAACUAUCUCAUUGAAACAUAAGUCAAAAUCAUGACAAGUGUGAGUCUUGGUUAAUGCACAAUUUGUUAGUGGAAUUUAUAUUUAUAAAACUCAAAAAAAAUUUUUGACAAUGCUAUUACUAAUUAAUUAAGGACUUCAUUGCUAUAAUUUAUCGCUUACUAGUUUAAACUAUAAAUGAUCUCAAUACUUUUCUCCAUGAUGUCGAUUUCUUUAGACUACGAAAGGGAAAAAUUAGUGACAUAUCCCUUACUGAUUACAACAUCAGCAAAAAUUAGUUAUAAACUUUUCCGGUGGUUUUAAAUCCCUCGGGCACUAAGGUUUUUUGCACAUCGAGUGAAUUAAGGAACAUAGGCAAUUCGUUCUGCAUACCAAGUCCUUGUUUAAGAUGCACGUACUAAAAUGCAUCCACUUCAUUAAUUUGGAAAAUUGCCAUAGUUUUUUUUAAGCAUUUUGAUUUUUUACAUGAUUCAAAAUUUUCUUAUUGGAUACAAUCACUUUGUGUCAAGAACACAUUUUCAAUCAUCUUUUUUAUCUUCUCAAUAAGAAAAUAAAAAUUUAUUCAUGCUUUUCUAACAUAUCCAAUCAUUGAUCUGAAAAAUAAAGAAUUAAAAAAAAAAGACAUUUUCAAUCAUUGCUUACAGGGCAACUUCCCCAUGUGAACCUCUUCAAACAAAGCCAAUAAUAUGAAGGAACAUCUAAAUACACUUUUGCCCUAAAGGCUGGUUGCCUUGGGGUCAAAAUUUAACCUUCGGGAGUAUAAUUACCCGCCAAAUUUAUUAUUUUUUAUGGGUAUAUAGUUCCAAUUUUGCCUCCUGUUAAGCUUAUAAAUAUAUUACGACCCAGAAAAUAAAGGAAUCUUGAAUAGUAACAUGUCCAUUGACUUGAGUUGUCAUCAAUUUGGCUACUUCGAUUCCAUGAGGCCAAUCCAAUUCACACUAGCUAGAGAAAAUGGUGAUAAAGGCACUUAGAAAUUUAUAUGUAAUAUUGAUUGGUAGUAACUGAUAAGUAUAUAUUUUACGUGUUUUAAAUAUGUUUUAUUAGUUAGUUUUGGUGUGUUUUAACUACUUUUAUAACUAAUUAACUAGGAAUCUAGUGAAAAUAUGCAUUUUGUGGUUUGAAGUGUGAAAAUUGUAUUUCUAUGGAUUUUAAUGGUGAAAACUUCAUGUUUUUGUAGGUUUAAUGAUUCAAUCAUCAAAUGACAUGAUUUGAGAAGAUAAUUAGAUGAUUGAUGAUGUUUUGAAGUGAUAAAAAGAGAAUACAAAGUGCAAGAGAGGAAAUGCAAUCAAGAAUAAAAGAAGAAAAUUUUUGUAGCUUUGACAUAUUGUGGUAUUUUGGCAAUAUAUUGAGCUACAAUGAUUGGAUUAAGGUGAUUCUUAAACCAUUUGAAGCUAAGAUAUAGAUCUACAUUUGGUAUGAAGGCAUCGAAACCCAUGUCAGUCAUUUUCCUUGUCAAAAUGUUGAAAUACAGAAGUGCAACUCUGUUCUCGAAAGCUAAAACAGAGCUCUGGCUAGUCGAGGGUAUUUUCAUCAUUUCUUAGUCCACAGAGCUCCAAAUGAGAUGAUUCUUAAGGCAUUAGAACCCUAACUCAAAGAGCUACAACUUUCAUAUUUUGUACAAGAGUUAGUUCGGCCUCCAUCAUUCAGAAAAUAGUAGUUGAAGUGGUGCCAAAUGCAUAGAAGUGAAAACGCGAGCUAUCAAUACUCGACCUGAAGUCGCGUAUUCCUGAGGUCAUGCAUUCUCUUCUAUUUUCUGCAACUUGCCCUGCUUUCACAUAAUUUUUUCAUCUCAAUUCCAACUAUCAAUUUCGGCUAUAUCUGAUCAAGAAAAGUGUGGAAAGUUUGAAAGACAACUCAUAGGAGUUUCAAGAGUCAAAAAUUACAAUUAGAAACAACUCAUUUGGCUCUUGAAUCCUCUAUAAAUAGAGGCCUUUGAAGAACAUUUUCACAACUUUGGAAGGUUAGAGAAACUCCACAAAAACAUAGUCUUCACUAGAAUUUCCUUAGUUCAUUAGUUAGGGUAGUAUAGUAUAGUUAGUGUAGCUUUUCCUUCUUGUAUUUAUAGUUAGGUUUGAAUGAAGAUUCAGGAGCAAAGAUAGAGAGGUUGAUCUCAUGUGACAAGGGUGAUAUCUCUUCUACUACUUUCUCUUUUGUAUUUGAUUUCAUAUUUAACUAUACUACAAAUUUGGCUUUGUUUUUUUUUUUUAUCAUGUUUAGUUAAAGUUUAUGCCUAGAGUAUGGAUGACCUUUCUAUAUCUUGUUUGUGAUAUUUAACUGGUUAUUUGAUGAUGUUAUUUUUGAGCAAGUUAUUUAUCACUUUUGCUUUUCUAAUCGUGAUUAACUGGCCAUUAGUUGUGAUUAUCUAAAAGUGUUAAGUUUGUAAUGAGAAUUGGAGUUUAACACUAGUUCAAGGAAGUGAUAAAUUUAGGGAGUUCACUCAUGAGAGUAGAGGAACACCUUUGUGACCUAAGUGACUUGUUUCAUAUAAUUUCAUAGAAAAAAUGAACUUGUAAUUAAUUUCAUAACCACGAGAGUAAGUAUGGUUUAGCUAUAUGUAUAGUUGAUUCACUACGAGAGUAGGUUUCACAUACAUUAGAAAAUUACAUCAUAACUAGUCAAGAUAAUAUCAUUCAUUUAAUCAGUAAUCUCAUUUGCAUGAGUAGUAAGGCAUUCCAUAUCUCUAGGAGGUUUUUAGUAUUAUUUUCAUUACUUUUAUGUUUAUGGUAGUCUAGAUAAUAAUGGAGUUCAAAAACUACUAGUAAUUGAAAAUUUUCCCUGUGGGAUCGACCUUUAAUACCCUAUACUCGCUCUCGACUCGUAUACUUGCGAAAAAUCACGUGUGCGGUAUUUAGAAUUUAUAAAUGUAAAACUUGACUGUAGAUGAACUAAUUGAUAUAUGUAUACCCCGCACUCGUCAGUAACCAGCUUGUAUUGAUCCCAUUAUUGUGGAUAAUUGUGCUCUUAUGAAAAAAAAUUAUAAAAAAAUUAGCAAAAUUUAUGAUAACAAAUUAAAUUUAUUCAUACAAAUCAGUGAAAGAAGUAGAAUUUUAAAGACCAUGAUGAAAUUAAUACUUUCAAGGGCUCUAUUAGGAAGACUUCACUUGUUGGUGAAACUACACUAGCACAGUUAUAUGCACAUUUACUGUUUUGGUAUCUAAUUUCCUUGCCUUAAGUUGGGUGCAGAUGUUUAUAUUACAAAUAGAUGGUAUCAUAAAAUUGUUGUAUUCACGUUUGUUCUUUUUUUUUCUUCCUUAAGUUUUUUUCUUUAUUCUCGUGACUUCAAAAAUACGAACUCAAGAAAUUGGCUGCUUAAUCAAUAUGUCAUACAGGCUUCGCUAGUGAGGUAUAACUUCACAACUAGAGUCAAUAGAAAUUAUCAAAUGAUUUUUUAACAUCCAAAUUAAGCAAUAAAUUUUGUUUUCAUUUUAUGACAUAUAAUAGUACUACUUCAUGAGAGAUUUUAUAGUUUCUUUUAGGUAUCAUACCUACAAGUGAUAUUUGUCAUUGGAUAGUGACAGAAGUGUUAAUGAUUGUAAGAUUAAAUAUUGUUAAAUAUUGAAAUUUAAACUAUUUAUCUUUAUUGAAAGAUACAAGUUAAAGAAUCGUUCAAGGGGGCAAUUUUCCAUCUUGUCUUUUUGAAAAAACGCUAUCACAUUGUAUAGGCAUGAUAGGUUCAAAUUUGUCAUUAAAUUUAUGAUUGAUUUCCCUUUUAUUCAAGCCAAAUAUUGUUUUAAUUAUCAAAUUCUACUUAUAUUUGGUUAAUUGUACUAAUUGUAGGGCGGUAGAGCAAAAGUUGCUAAAAAUAGGUGAUUUUCUGCAAAUUGGUUGUCAAGGCUGAAGGAUUUGGGAUUCGCAUGUUCAAGGCCUGUUUCCAAGUUUGAUUCAAACUCUGGACAGUUUUAGAGGAAGAUUUGGAAGAUUUGAAAUUUCAUUAUUAGUUUUAUGGUUGAAUUAGGAAUCUUGGAAUAAUUUCUUUUGUGAUUUAUUUUUCUAUUUAGGAGACUAGUUGUUAUUUAGUAGUAGACUUCAAUUAGAAAACAAAGAGAAAAAGAAGGCCGGAAUCCCGCUUGAUUAAUACCUUGGCCAGGGAACAAUCUCGGUGGGGAGGACGGCCACUUAGCCUCUCAAUUCAUCUUGCUUUUCGUUAGUUUGAGAGGAAAACCAAUUGCAACUAGAUUCAAUGGAGUCUGGCAGAAUUUCUUCUAGGAUGCGUAGCUAAAUCCUCAAUUUUUAGUCGAAGGUCAAUUUGAAAAUUCGGUUCCAAAUAUCUGUGAAAUCGAAUUAUUUUACUUAUUUCUUUUAUUUAUUGGUAUUCGCACGUUUUCUGAUUUAACUUUUUAUGAUUGUUUUGUUAUUUGAAUGUCAAGGGUCCGAUAUUCGAAUUAACUUAAUAAUCUACUGCCAAAUUAACCGGUUAAAUCCGUAAUUGUUUGAUUGAUUAAUAUCAGUGGCGACUAGCGUGAUUGGUCCCAUGUUAGGAAAACGUCUGAUCUAAUUUAAACAAACCGUCGUAGCGUGUUUGUUGAUUAGGGUUGGACUUUUCUAAUUCUUAAUUCAAUUGAGAAAUUAAAUCUCCCGGUCGUACCUAAGAUUAUUUUUUUGUUAGCGAAAUAGUUAAUGGUCGUACCUUGACUAUCGAAAAAGUAAGGAAGAGUUGAUUGUUUAUCGCGUGUACGACAACUAUAAUCAAUCUAUUAAUGAGUAAUUGAAUUAUCUUUGCAUCAGUAAUCAGUUGAAUGGACCGUGUCUGAAAAGUUGUACCUUUGGCUAGAGUCUUAUCUGUUGUUGAUUCAUUCAUAUCUAUCUUCAUGCGUUGUUUUAAUUUAGUUAAUUAGUUAUUUUUAUAAAAACCCCUCAUCUCUGGACUCUAAAAGAAAUAAAUUAUUUCUAGUUCCUGUGGAUUCGAUCCUACUCACCGCUAUAUACAAAAUUUGUAUUUUUUUGAAUAAAUAAUUAUUAUUACACAGGCUUGACACCUGUCAAGGCAAAAUUUCCUUAACUUCAUCAUCUGUAGACGUAAACUUUCUACGGGUGAUAUAAUAUAAGGAAAUUUUGCCUAUACGAUGUGAUAGCAUUUUUUCAAAAAAGACAAGAUGGAAAAUUGCUCCCUUGAACGGAAAAAAUCAUGAUCUUUCCUCAAACUAGUCUACUAGUCAAUUCUUUACAAAAGAAUACUCGCUCCUAAACAUAGCCUGUUCAUCUACACUGUCCCGCAGAAUUCUAGAAAGUUAGGCAAAACUAGACAAGUUGACAGGUAUAAUCAUACCCAAGAUCAGGAACAAGCAGUUGCACAUUUCAAAAUUCGCUGCUGCAACAGCUAAUUUGAUGACUUACAACACUACACGGUCAAACUUUGAAUGGCAAUGGAUCUUUUGUUGUACGUCAUGAUGUAAUUUUCAUGUUACAUACAUUAAUAGGUUGAUAUCUAUAUUCUUUAAAUUAUCAUGAUAAUACCCUUAAUUAGAUUUAACUGAUAAAAAGAACACGUGUUAAUAUACAAAAGUGUGUAACGUGAAUGUUACAUUACUGUAUUGCAGAAGACCUAUAGUCUCUUCAUAUCUCUUCCUGCACGUAUCAAUUCGUUUCCUCUAGAUAAUAAUCUCCCAACUCGUUUCUUUACAAAUGCACCUUUUAUGUUUUAUUACCUCCAAAAGCCUUUACAGGGUCUUUACCCUAAAAAUCAAUUCACCGACUCGCAUUUGAUGUCAGAAAUUCUUAAGACGAAUUCUACUUUACUCAAAGAUUGACUGUUAAUAAUGAGACAGCGACCAUUUUGUAUUAUUAGACCGUCCUUCUUGAUAGGUAAAAGAAAUAGAGAGGAAAGUGGGUCCGUAUAUGGUCUUUUAUUCAUAGAUAAUACAACAUUACGCCAUCGAGCAUUCACACAAUAUUUCAAAGUCAUAGCAUGCCUAAGGCCCUGUUUGAUAGCUCAAUUUCGUAAUUAAAUUUAAUAGAUUCAAAUUUUAACACAUUUAAAUCAUUUGAUAACAAAAAAUUGAAUAUUUAAAUUAAUUAAGUAACACUGAACUUUCUAAACAAAACUUGCUUUCAAAAUUAAGUGAUAAGUUAUUCACUUAUCUUUGAAUGUGAUAUGCACUCAAAUAUAUUAAAUUUAAUAAUUUAAUGGAUUCAGAUUUCAGAUUUCAGUUUUAUUACACACCCUAAGUUGCAAAAUAAUACCAAAACUUGUUAUUAUAUAGCUUGAGAUUCAAAAAUUUAGAGCAUAAUUCUCAACCUAACACAAUCGAAUAAUGAAUAUUCACGAUUGUUUCAAAGUACAAUUUGAGGACAACCCAUUCCAACGCGUACACGAUUUUUAACUUUUCUAAAGUUGUUGAGAGCUGUUAAAAGAGAUUUACCAUGUUUACAUCUUCCAAGUCUUGGAAGUGAAAAAUGAAGCCACUGAGUGCUAUAAAAAGGGGGCUAGAGGCUGCCUAGAAGCAUAUCAGCCUAAAACAAGAAUUUGUAGUAACAAUGGGGAGCAAAGCAAAAGCAACGGGGUCUAGGCUGACUCCUCUUCUUACCACUGUUUUAGUGGUAUUUGUCGCCCUUGGCUUGCCCUUGGAAACUGCAGCUGAUUAUUACAAGUAUUCAUCUCCUCCUCCUCCUCCUUACCACUAUUCUUCACCACCACCUCCAGUGUAUUCACCUCCACCAACCCCUGCUUAUAAGUUACCCCCACCAUCUCCUCCAGUUUACAAGUCCUCACCACCACCUUACCACUACUCACCACCUCCGGUGUAUUUACCUCCACCAUCUCCAGUUUACAAGUCACCACCACUACCCCCUCCGGUAUACAACUCCCCGCCUCCACCAGUGUACAAAUACAAGUCCCCACCACCACCUCCUCCAGUUUACAAAUCUCCAUCGCCACCAGUUUACAAAUACAAGUCACUCCCACCACCUCCUCCGGUAUACAAGUCUCCUCCGCCACCUGUUUACGAGUACAAGUCUCCUCCACCACCUCCUCCAGUGUACAAGUCCCCACCACCUCCAGUUUACAAGUACAACUCACCUCCACCUCCUCCCCCAGUUUACCUGUCUCCACCUCCACCCUAUCAUCACUACUACGGUUCUCCUUCUCCUCACCACUACUAAGCAAGUGCAUAAGUUUUGAGGUAAUAAUACCUAUCCAAAACUUUAUCAACACAAACUGCCAUGUAUAUUAUCAUGCUAAGGACGUACACUUGAUCCAUGAAAAUGACUAGUAGAAGAUUUUUUUUAAGAACCAAAGAAAUACAUUAUUUUUUCGGUCUGUUUUCAAGAAUUUGAGCAGUAUACAGAUUAAAGAGUGUUUUUUUUUUUGUAAACUUGCUUGUCAACUUAAAAAUGCACAUAGCUGAAAGCCAACUGAAUAUUUGCAGGCAAAGGAGAAGGCAAUCGGUGUUUGAGACCUUCAAGAAGAUGUAGAAGAAUAAGAAUAAAAGCCCAAUGCGAGGAUGAUUCCAAGUUUCUACGUUACCAUUUCUACAUCUAAAUUGACUUUAGCUCCUGAGUUCCAUGUUUAUGGGGUUUGUACCGUUUUACGUACCAUGCAGUACAUGCUUGCAAGGUUUUCUGUCCUGUUGGCAAACUGCAGGUCCAUAUAAUAAAUGAAUACUAUUUACAUUACGACACUUUUCUCUUUUUCUCUUAUAUUUUGUCUUUAAUAUUGUUGAUCAUUUUUUUUUUAUCAAAAGCAUCAAAUGCUUAGGUAAUUUGGUCUAAUGCUAAUUGUUUUACUUUUAUUUUUCACCUACACCCCUUUUCAACUCAAAGGAUGCUAUAGUUUGUGAUAAUUGUUUAAGACCGAAGCAUGAUACUAAUAAAUAUCUCAUUGAAAGUCAAGGAAACUAACAUUAGGAAAAGUUUAAAUCUUGAUUUGAUGAAACUAUUUAUUCGUGGAAUUUAGAGAUACAAAACUCAAAUUGUGACGGUGUUGUUGCUAAAUUAUUAAGGACAUUAUCACCAUUAUUUUUCCCUGAUCACUAGUUUCAACUGCAAUGAUCUCAAUCUUUUUGUGACUAAUUCUUUCCUUAAUAAUUUAUAAAGACAAAACUCACAAAGAAUAUGUGACUAAUUCUUUCCUUUCGUCUUCUAAAGAAAAUGCCAACUGUUAGUUUAUCAAGGGGAAAAAGGAUCGACAUCAGUUAUUAUUGAAACUAGUAAGGAAUAAAUAAUGGUGAUAAUGUCCUUAAUAAUUUAACAACAGCACCAUCAGAAUUUGACUUUGAGCUUCGGUCUUAAACAAUGAUCACAAACUACAGCAUCCUUUGAGUUGAAAAAGGAAGUAGGUGAAAAGAAAAGUAAAAAAUACAAUUAGCAUUCCCUCAAAUUGUAGAAAGUUAGGUAGCAUUAUAGACAAGUUGAUAGCGGCAAUUUUACAUUUCAAACUUCACCUAUUCAAUAACUAAUUCGAUGGCUUGCUACAUGGUCAAUCUUUGGACCCCUUCCUGCCUCCAGAUAUCCCUUUCCUCAAUCAGGGGCUUCUACAAUUACCAGUUUCAAUUGUAUGGUAUAGUGUAAAUAUCAACAAAUUAGAUGUAGAUGCUAACAUAAUAAAUGUGAAUGCUAAGACAGCAACAUACAAUCGAACCUGCAAUUGUAUGAACCCCAAUCUCGCUUCCUAGUCCACCAUCUUUCUCUAGGUAAUAAUCUCCCUUCUAAUUUAUUCACAAAAUGCACCUUUCAUCACCUCCAAUAGCGUCGACAUGAUCUUUACCCUAGAAGACUAUUCACCGACUCUCAAUUGACGUCAGAAAAUCUAAGAGUAAUUCUACUUUACCCUAAGAUUGAUAUCAACAAGACAAGGACAAUUUAGAAUUAUUACACGCCUCUUCUUAAUAGGAAAAAGAAAUAGAGAAGAAAGUCAGGCCAGGUCUAAUUUCUUUUCAAAGGCAAUACAACAUUACGAAAUCAAGCAUUCAUUCAUACAAAUAUUUCAUAGUCACCGGUUUGCUGAGUAGAAAAAUUUAGACAAAAACUUAAUAUUAUAUUGUUUAAGAGUUAACAAUUUAGAGCUUAAUCUCCUUGUACUUUGGAGUUAACAAUUUAGAGCUUAAUCUCCUUGUACUUUGGACUAAACUUGAACGUGAAAGGAAAUCCCAAAACCAUAUUGGGCAUGAAUUCACACUUAAUAUACCCAAUAAAAGAUGGCGACUGGUGAAAGGCAGUGGAGACUGGUGGAGAGAUUUGAGGAAUAGAAGCAGACGGAAAAGCAACAAAUUUUUGCCGAAAAACGGUCACUUUCAUGGUUAAUUUUGCUACUCUCCAAUUGUACUUGACCAAUUACAACAAUUUCAUGGAGUUUGAUACGUGAAAAGAAUUUUUUAUAAAUUUUAUUUUGAUCCAUAAUGUUAUCUUUACAUAUAUAAAACAUUUUACAAUUUUGAUUUUGGCGCAGCUAACUUUUGGUUAACAAAAAUGCUCAUGUUUAAAAAACCAGAAAUAAAACAAAACAAGAAACAAAAGAAAUAAGAGGGUAGCAUAGACAUUUUGGAUUUUUCCGUUAAUUUGGAUGAUUUCCACCCACGUUCUAAUUUAAUCCAAAACACAAAGGAAUUACGUAGAGGUUUUAAAUAAUGAGGGAGCUUCAUGAUCGAACCCCAAACCACAAGGCGAUUUACUAUAUUUUACUCUUAAAUUUUGGUUUCAUCUCAUAGCAUACAAGAGUUCUAUUUCACUAUCUGUAGACAAAGACUUUCUAUGGUUGAUGUACCAUAGGAAAAAAUCUGCCUAUACAACGUGAUAGCAUUUUUUCAAAAACACAAGAUGGAAAAUUGCCCCUUAAACGGGGAAAUUCAUGAUCUUUCGUCGAACAAAGAAUACUCACGCCUAUUCAAGAUGGAAAAUUGCCCCCUUAAACGUCUAUUUGUCAAUUCUUGAAAAAAGAAUACUCACGCCUAAAACACGGCCUCUUCAUCUGCAGAAUUCUAAAAAGUUAGGUAAACUCUAUAAACAAGUUGAUAGGUACAAUCGUACCCAAGAUCAAGUACAGAUAGUUGUACAUUAACUGCUGCAAUAACUAAUCUGAUGACUUAUAAACAUAUCAUGGUCAAUCGUUGAAUGGUAAUGAGUCUUUUGUUAUGCAUUAGUAUUAGUGUGUACACUCUAAUAGAUUGAUACUUAUACUCUUUAAAUUAUCAUAAUAAUACCCUUAAUUAACUUUAACUCUUAAAAAGAAUACAUGUUAAUACACGAGUGUGUGUAACCUGAAUUGUUACUUAUAAAUUAGUGUGUAAUAGAUAGGGAUGGCAAUGGGGGCGGGUGCCCGCGGGGGGCUCUCGGGGCGGGGGUUGGGGCGGGGGGGAAUUUUUUCCCCCCGUUUAGAAAUGGGGCAGGGGACGGGGGAGUAUACCCCCGCCCCAUCCCCCGCAAAAAAAAAAUUAUAUAUAAUAUGUAAUUUAAUUAGUUAUAAACUUAUGAUAAUGAUAUUAUUAGUUAGAUGUAUUAUAUAAUGUAUAUUAGUGUAUGUAAUAUAAUUAAUAUUAUCAAUUAUAUGAAUAAUUAGACAUGUCUACUAAUAGAAUUUAUGAAUUAGUUAUACUAAAUUUACUAAUACAUUUAUACUAAAUUUCUAAUUACACUUAAUAGAAUAACACUUUUUUCUAAAACAAAAAAGCACAAACACAAUAAUGAAUUAGUGAUUGUAUGAUAGGGUGUAAUUUUACUAUUUAUUUUAUUAUUAAUUUCCCCUAUCACCUGACCUGAUGUGGAUUAAUUGCUGGAUUCUGCUCACUUUUAGUACUUUGUAUUUAUUUCAGGGAGUAGAACGGAAAUUUGAUAACAGGUGCUAAUUUGGCAGAAAAAGAGUCCAGAUGAUAGAGCUUGCCCCAAGGGCAUUUUUGGAAAGGAGAACUUGUGCCCAUCUUGGUAAUUUGGGAGAAAAGGGAAACAGACAAAAUGGGUCUAACAUGGAUUGGAAGCGGCCGCACAGUAGCAGGGAAGAGGGCAGACGUAAAAGCAAUUGCAGGGGGGAAAAGGAGUUUUUUUAGUUUUUAGCUUAGCAUCUGAUUUUCCCUGGGAGACUUUUGUUAAAGAUUUCCUUUUGGCUGAUAUUACGCAUGGCAGAUGGCUUUUAACUUAUUCCUCCAUCUUUGACUUUUCUUCUUUAGCUUGUGGCAGUGGAUUGCUACUUACGAAUGUCAGCACUUAGCCAUUCGUGGCUUUUGAUCUUUUCUUCCUUAGAAAUUCUGAGUAACCUCUUUUCCUUUGUGCGCCAGACGAAGUGAAAACUAUAAACUUUUGUAGUUUUUCUAUUCAUUCAAUAUAUUGAGACGAGUUGGAUUCUACCAAAUUUCAACGGACAUGGCCGCUGGUUUCUCUUCAAUUUUAUAUGGGCUUUGUUCAUCCAACAUGAACUAAUUUCACCACUCUAGUCAAGGAGCAACGAAGGCUCUGAUUUGCCUAAAAAUUGUGAGAUCGUUUUAAUUUAAUCUUUUCCUUUUAUUUAUUGGUAUCCGCACAUUUCUUGAUUGCUAUGCUUAUGGUUAUUUAAUUAAUUGAUUGUCUUGGAUCCAGAUAAUUAAUUGAUCUGAUAGCCUAUUGUCAAUUAGGGCAUUUAAAUCCGUAAUUGUUUAAUUGUCCUGAAAUAGUGACAACUGGCACGAUUAGAUUCGUGCCAGGGGGGAUAUGCGGGCUAAUCUAAAAUAACCCUGGUAGUGUGUUAUUUGGUUAGAAUAGGGCUCCUCUAAUACUAAGGCAAUUGGGGAAUUAAAUUCUACGGGCGUACCUAGGAUUAUUUCUUAAUUAGAGCAGUGAUUAACGGGCGUACCUUGAUCACCGACACAGUAAGGAGGGGUUGACCGUCAUCGCUUGUUUGGCAGUUAUAACCUAUUUAUCAGUAAAUAAUUGGGAUUGCCUUGCAUCAAUGAUCAAUUAGGUGAACCAUUGUUGAAGUUACUUCUUGGUUAGAUCUUUAGUUAAUAUUACCUUGAUUUUGGUGAAUUGCCAUUUGAUUUUUAGUUGCCUACUUUAUUUUAUUUUUAAUUGUUUCCUUGCUUUAAUUGAGUUAGGCCUUUAAUUAUUGUUAUUCUAAGUUUAGUGAAUUGUGGUUUAAUUCCUAAUUAGUUAUUUAUUUUUACUUUCUUAUUUGAAUUUAUUUGCUUGUUAUCAUUCCUACGAAAUCACCCCCCUGUGUUACUUUGGAUUUCUUAAGAAACAAAUAUACCCAAUCCCUGUGGAUACGACCCUACUUGCUCUGUUCACGAAUUCAUAAUUAUUUGUGAAAAGAAAUAACCAUUCCACUCGGGUAUAUCGGAUCAAGCAAAUUCUUCGGGAACAGGGUGAAUCAAGUAACCCAAUGCACACCUAGAGUCCCUGCUCCAGUACUUGGAAUUGGGUUUUGGUCAUUUUAACUGGCAAUUAGGUUUAAUUUUAUUAUUGCACAGGCUGACGACCCUGUCAAUUUUUGGCGCCGUUGCCGGGGACUGGCGUUAUUAUUUGUUUCUUUUUAAAUUCAUUCUUUGUCCUAAUUUUCUGGUUUUCUUCUAGUGUAUGCCUCGAUCUUCUCGUACAGGUAAUUUGAUUUUUGACCCUGAGGUAGAGAAGACCGCAUGUAGAACGAGAAAGGAAACCAGACAGCUCAGAGAAGAGCACUCCAGUGCUACAUCUCAGAGACCCGAGUCAGAAGUUGAACUAACAGAUUCGUUUGGUAACACUUCGAGUGACUCUGACCAGGAGGAAGACACCAUGGCUAAUGCACGAACAUUAAGGGAGUUGGCUGCUCCUGAUUUAACUCAGCAGCCUUUAUGCAUUACUUUCCCCACUUUAAAUGAUAACAUUCCAUUUGAACUAAAAUCUGGUCUGAUUCAGCUUUUACCCUCUUUUCAUGGUUUACCAGGUGAAGAGCCGUAUAAGCAUCUGCAGGAGUUUGAUGUCGUGUGUAAUAGUAUGAAACCCUCGGGAAUCACAGAAGAGCAGAUAAAAAUGAGGGCAUUCCUCUUCUCCUUGAAAGAUUCUGCGAAGGACUGGCUGUACUACCUGUCACCAGGUAGCAUCACCACGUGGGACCAAUUGAAGAAAAAAUUUUUGGAUAAAUAUUUUCCUGCGUCCAGGGCUGCAAGUCUAAGGAAAGAAAUUUGUGGGAUCAAGCAGCAUCCAGGGAAGUCACUUUAUGAGUAUUGGGAACGGUAUAAGAACUUGUUGCGCAGGUGCCCCCAACACCAAAUAAGUGAGCAAUUGAUCAUACAGUAUUUUUAUGAGGGGCUCCUUUUUAGAGACAGGAGCAUCAUUGAUGCCAGGGGGGAGGGUUGGGAUGGGUGGUACGGGGGGAGGGAGUGUAAGCAAGAGGUCUCGGGUUCGAGUCCUCCCGCUUACACACAAAAAAAAAGAUGCUGCAAGUGGAGGGGCACUGGUAAACAAAACCCCUCAGGAAGCACGGGAGUUAAUAGAGGGGAUGGCAGAGAAUUCACAACAAUUCAGUACAAGAGAGGAUGUCCCAAUACGUAAGGUGAAUGAGGUAGAGACACCCUCUAUGCAGCAGCAGCUAACUGAGUUGACCGCGUUUGUUAGGCAACUGGCUGUGAGAAAUGCAUCACAAGCCAGGGUGUGCGGGAUUUGCACUGGUAUGGGUCAUUCUGCAGACAUGUGCCCAAUGAUUCAGGAAGAAACUGCAGAACAGGUGAACAUGGCUGACCACGCGCCCGCGCCAAGGAAGCAGUACGACCCUUACUCAAGCACCUACAACCCCGGGUGGAGAGAUCAUCCCAACCUCAGUUAUGGAGAAAAUAGGCAGCCCAACAUUACACCGAACAGGCAGUCUAACUUUGUGCCAAAUAGGCCACCAGGGUACCAGCAGCAAUAUCAACCCCGACCACCUCCGUCCCCAAGCUCUGGCCCAUCUUUGGAGGAGAUGAUGAAACAAAUGAUGACAACUAUGGCUCAAAAUCAGCAAAUGACGGAGGCAACCAUUAUGCAAAAUCAGCAAAGGACGGACUCCGAAAUGAAGGAUAUAAGGAAUCAGAUAAGUCAAAUGGUCACAACAAUCAACCGUUUGGAUUCCCAGAACCAAGGUAAAUUGCCAUUUCAGCCCGAAUUAAAUUCGAAGAACGUGAGCGCAAUGACCCUAAGGAGCGGGAAAGAAAUUCAGGGGUCUGAACCUGUGAUCCCUAAGGAUAAGGAUGAGGAAAAGAUCGAAAAUGAGCUUGAAAGGGAGGACAGCAAUGGUGCAGAUCUAAAGGUACUUCCUGACCCAAUAAUUACAGCUAAAACUAACCCGCCUCCUUUUCCUAGCAGGUUGGAAAAAUCGAAAAAAGAGGAUAAGGAGAAGGAGAUCUUGGAGGUUUUUCGCAAGGUUGAGAUAAAUAUCCCCCUCUUAGACGCAAUCAGACAAGUACCAAAAUAUGCCAAGUUCCUAAGGGACUUGUGUGUCAACCGAAGGCAGUUGAGGGAAGAUGAACGGGUUAUUGUUGGGGAGAAUGUGUCAGCAGUCCUGCAGAGAAAGCUCCCACCAAAGUGCGGGGACCCAGGUAUGUUUACUAUUCCCUGUAGGAUAGGUAAUACUGUGAUAGAAGGGCCAUGUUGGAUCUGGGAGCAUCAAUUAAUCUCAUACCUAAAUCUAUCUAUGCUUCUCUAAAAUUAGGUCCAUUAAAAGAAACUGGAAUAAUCAUUCAAUUAGUUGACCGAACUAAUGCAUAUCCUGAUGGGUUGGUUGAAGAUGUGUUGGUAAAAGUUAAUGAUUUGAUGUUUCCAGCUGAUUUUUAUGUACUUGAUAUGGAUGAUGAUCACUCCCCUGAUCCCUCACCUCUGUUAUUGGGUAGACCCUUUAUGAGCACAGCACAGACGAAAAUUGAUGUUAAUAAGGGUAUCUUGUUCAUGGAGUUUGAUGGGAAAAUUGUGCAUUUCAAUAUCUUUGAUACUAUGAAAUAUCCCUCAAACUCCAACUUUAGCACAGUUUUCUCUGUGAGUGCUAUUGACCCUGUAGUGCAGGAAGUGUUUGAAACUGAUGGCAGGGAUGAGUUGGAGGUGGCUUUGACCAAGCACCUCGAGUUGGAGACAACUCCUGAGGUGGAAUGGAGCGAGGACCUAAAAUGCACAAUAGGUGCAUUACACUCAUUGCAGUCCACCACGAAAAGGUAUGAAGUCUUACCUAUUUUUACUCCCGAACCUCACCAGAGGGUGUUGCCAUCUGUGGUGCAGGCACCUGUACUAGAAUUUAAACCUCUAUCAGAGCACCUGAAAUAUGCAUAUCUGGGUGAUAAUGAGACACUCCCGGUGAUUAUCUCAUCGACACUGUCAAAAAUCCAGGAGGAGAAACUGAUCCGGGUCCUUAGAGAGCAUAAAGAGGCGAUAGGUUGGACAAUCGCAGAUAUUAAGGGGAUCAGCUCGGCCAUCUGUAUGCACCGGAUUAGACUAGAAGAGGAUGCCAAACCUGUUAGGCAGGCUCAAAGGAGGCUCAACCCCCUAAUGAUGGAAGUUGUAAAGAAAGAAAUUUUAAAAUUGCUAGAUGUGGGGAUUAUUUUUGCAAUAUCAGAUAGCCCUUGGGUAAGCCCGAUCCAGGUAGUCCCAAAGAAGGCAGGGGUGACGGUGGAGGCAAACCAAACGGGUGAGCUCGUGCCAGUGCGCAAACCCACUGGAUGGAGGCAGUGUAUAGACUACCGUAGGCUAAACGCCGUCACCAAAAAGGACCAUUUCCCUCUCCCUUUCAUUGACCAAAUGGUUGAACGUUUAGCUUGUAGAGCUUAUUAUUGCUUUUUGGAUGGAUUUUCAGGAUACUUUCAGAUAGCAAUUGCUCCAGAGGAUCAAGAGAAGACAACCUUCACGUGCCCGUUCGGGACCUUUGCUUAUAGACGAAUGCCAUUUGCGUUGUGCAAUGCACCUGCAACAUUCCAGAGGUGUAUGGUAAGUAUUUUUUCUGAAUAUGUGGAGAAAAUUAUUGAAGUUUUCAUGGACGAUUUCAGUGUGUAUGGUGAUAGUUUUGAUACGUGUUUAGAUAAUCUGAAAUUGAUCCUGAUAAGGUGUAUAGAGACUAAUCUUGUGCUUAAUUGGGAAAAAUGUCAUUUUAUGGUUGAGCACGGGAUAGUCCUGGGUCAUAUUGUAUCGUCUAAGGGCAUAGAAGUUGACAAGGCUAAAAUAGAUAUUAUUUUUGCAUUACCUUACCUCGCGAGUGUGCGGAAGGUGCGUUCUUUUCUUGGACAUGCAGGUUUUUAUCGAAUGUUCAUCAAGGAUUUUUCAAAAAUUGGAGCCCCGUUAUUCCAACUCCUACAAAAGGAUGUGACCUUCGAAUUCGAUGAUAAGUGUGAGGAAGCCUUCAACAAGUUGAAAGAAUUGUUGACCUCACCCCCAAUUAUCCAGCCCCCUGAUUGGAGUCUACCAUUUGAGAUCAUGUGCGAUGCCAGUGAUCAUGCCGUAGGGGCUGUAUUGGGGCAAAGAGUAGGGAAGGCAGCUCACGUCAUCUACUAUGCAUCCCGAGCAUUGAAUGGAGCCCAAUUGAAUUACUCCACUACUGAAAAGAAGCUUCUUGCAGUUAUUUUUGCUUUAGAAAAAUUCAGGUCAUAUUUGCUAGGUGCUAAAGUAAUUGUAUUUUCUGACCAUGCAGCAUUAAGGUACCUAAUGACCAAGAAAGAUGCCAAACUGAGGCUCAUUAGGUGGAUAUUGCUACUGCAGGAAUUUGACCUGGAGAUACGGGAUAAAAGGGGCUCAGAGAAUUUAGUAGCUGACCAUCUGAGUCGUAUACCCGUUGGAGAGGAUAAUGAACCAUUGAGGGAUGCGUUCCCUGAAGAGCACUUAUUUUCUUUAAAUUCUCAGUUGCCUUUGUAUGCCGAUCUGGUCAAUUAUUUGGUAACUGGUAAUUUUCCUGCAGGUUGACCAAAAUCGAAGAGGGAUAAAUUGAAGAGCGACGCCAAGUAUUUUAUUUGGGACGACCCGUACCUAUGGAAGAGGUGUGCAGAUCAAGUGAUGCGGAGAUGUGUAAGUGAAAUGGAAUUUCAAUCGAUUUUAGCUUUUUGUCAUACUUUUGCCUGUGGAGGUCAUUUGGACCCAAGAGAACUGCUCAUAAGGUUUUAGAAAGUGGAUUUUAUUGGCCUUCAUUGUUUAAGGAUGCCUAUGUGUUUUGUAAGUCAUGUGAUCGCUGUCAAAGGGUAGGUAAUAUACCCCGUAGAGAUCAAAUGCCCCAAGUCCCGUUGAUUUUUAUUGAAAUUUUUGAUGUCUGGGGUAUAGAUUUCAUGGGGUCUUUUCCUACUUCAUUUGGUUUUUUAUAUAUUUUGCUGGCAGUUGAUUAUGUGUCUAAAUGGGUGGAGGCUAAGGCCACUCGAACUAAUGACUCGAAAGUAGUUGCAAAUUUUGUCAGGUCUAAUAUUUUUGUGCGAUUUGGAAUGCCUAGUGCUAUUGUCAGUGAUAGGGGAACGCACUUUUGCAACAAAAUCAUAGCUGCGUUGUUUCGCAAGUAUGGUGUACUCCAAUGGGUCUCAACGUCGUACCACCCUCAGACCAAUGGUCAAGCGGAGGUGUCGAAUCGAGAGAUCAAGUCUAUCUUGGAGAAAAUGGUGCGCCCCGAUAGGAAAGACUCGAGUCAAAGGCUGGAGGACGCACUUUGGGCCUAUCGGACGGCGUACAAGACUCCUAUAGGGAUGUCACCGUACAGGUUGGUAUUUGGGAAGCCGUGUCACCUUCCAGUGGAGUUUGAGCACAAAGCUUUUUGGGCGAUAAAGUAAUGCAACAUGAAUUUAGAGGAAGCCGGUGCCCAACGAAAGUUGGAUUUGCAAGAAUUAGAAGAGAUCCGGAACGAGGCUUACGAAAAUGCACUAAUUUAUAAGGAGAGAAGCCGGAUAUUUCAUGAUCAACAAAUUUCAAGAAAAUCCUUUGAAGUUGGUCAGAAGGUCCUACUAUACCAAUCCAGGCUCAAGCUAUUCCCAGGUAAACUACGUUCCCGUUGGAUUGGACCUUUUCUUGUUACUCAUGUUUUUCCAUAUGGUGCAGUUGAAAUCCGGAGCGCUAAAACAGACAACAAAUUUGUGGUGAAUGGACACCGUCUCAAGCAUUACUACGAAGGAUUUUCAGGUGAAAAGGUGGAGACAAUAAGUCUAGACGCGCCACCGUGUCCUAAUCAGUGACAUUUUACUAUGUCUAGCCAAAGACAUUAAAGACAGGCGCUCAUUGGGAGGCAACCCAAUUGUCCCUUUUAAUUAUUUGUUUGAUUUCGUGUGAUAGUUUAAAUAUGUUUUCCUUGAAUUCGACUGAUUUUGGGUUUCAGUUUUCGUUUUUGCUGAAUUGUAGGUGACCUUCAGUCUUGACGCGCCCGCGUGAUGACAUGCAGGAAGCUCACGAUCAGAAUCGUCUGAAAGCUCUCUUGCCCUUUUGACGCACCCGCGUGAUGACGUGCAGGAAGCUCACGAUCAGAAUCGUCUGAAAGCUCUCUUGCCCUCUUGACGUGCCCGCGUCACGUUCGCAGGAAAGGUACGGGUUUCAAAAAUUUAAAGAAAAAAUAAUAAUAAUAAUAAUUUAAAAUUUUGAAAUUAACUUCCGUAAAAAAAAAAAAGAAGAAAAAAAAUUUCACCGUGGCUUAAAUAGAGCCUAAAGAAGAGAAAAAAGAAACAAUUUCUUUCUUUUUUUUUUCUUUUUCUUCUUUCUUCCUUCUUUCUUUCUUUCUUCUUUCUCUUUUCCCUCUCUCUUCUCCCCUGUUUCUUCUCCCCUGUCCGUCGCCCGUGCGCCCCAUCGCUGCUCCACCUCCACACGCACGCCGACGCUGCGAGCCACCUGCGACCCCAGCGCCAGAUCUGGACCAUCGCCGAAACCCGCAGCCUCCGCCACCUCCACCUGAGCUCUGCCUCGCGCGCAACCCAGCUGCUCUGCGCCCGAAGCUCCACCGCCGCCACAGCCUCCCCACGCAGCUCCCUGCUCACGCGGCCACAAGCCCAUUGGAAACGGGACAGAGACUGCCGCCGAGCCACUUGCCCGCGUGACCGCCGCUGUUUUCCACCACCUCCCUCACGCGAGCUCUUUCCCUCUCAGCAGCAAUCCACUUCACAGCGCACCCGCUGCGCGCCGUCGCAGCCCUCGCAGCUCCAGCCCGUCUGGUCUAGUCCGCCGCGCGCACCAACCACCCACGGACGCUACCCCCAUCGCUAACCCACGCGGCCUCCACUCCAGUCUGUCCGCCGCCGCUGCUCGUGUCUCCCUUGCGCACCUCACGCCACCCGCUACUGUCCCCUUCCGUUUGGUUAGCAUCCACGGUGGAGGUAAUUGGAGGUUAUUUUCUCAAUUGUGUGACUUCCGCCUGUGAUACUGGUUGCAUUAUUUUUGCUGGGAAUUGCUACUUCUUUUGGGUUGGGUUCAACUGUGCAAUUAAUUGGCCAACUGGAGCCAUUUGUUGGGAUUUUGGGUGAGCUGAAAUACUGCAUUUGUGUGUUACAUUGGGAGGUUUAUUGGGUACAUUCUAACCGCUGUUUUCCAUUGUUACUCUCGCUGGGGUGUCUAUUAAAUUGCGAUUGAAGUAUUUUGGAUAUUGCAUGUUGAGAUUGAGGUUUCAUUGAAUUUGGCCUACGUUCUGCCCCCAGUGGUACUGGUGGGAAUAUUUUCAAUUGAAUUUGUUACCUCUAGUUGGUUGGCUACAUUAUUAUGGUCGAAUUCCUAAGUUGUCGUCAUUGCAUUUGUUGAUCUUGAUUUGGGGCAUUAACCGGCCAACUGGAGCCAUCUGUGCGUUUUUAGGCGCUAUUAUUGGUUUCUUCUCCCUUAACUUUGUCAACUAUAUUUGGUUGGGUAUUUGGUUGACUGCCACGGACUUGUAACUGUGUUUUGCUUCUAAUUGACCAGUUGCACAGCAGUUUUUUUUUAAUUGAUAGGGUGGUUAUACCUCUGGAUAUUUGUAUCCACUGGUUUGAGGACAUGGUGAGACCAAAAUCCUCCUCUAGGUCUAGGACCCCUAGAACCUCGCAAUCCCAACCCCAAGCCUCUACUCUAGUCAAUACCCCUAUAAAUCAACCUACUGCUCCCGGUGUCCGAACCUGGUUAGGUAGGGGUAGAGGUGCCCACGUGGCUUCCGCCACUCACUUGGGAGGGCAUUUGGAAUUCACUAGAGCCGCCGAUCAGCGACGCUAUGCUCAAGCUUGUGAGCGGCGUAUCAUUCCGUGCAAAUGCGCGGACCACAUUACUAUGGUUUUUCUGGGGAUCCAAGGGGAGGUUGAGCGCAUGUACACCGCCAUUGGAUGGCGCCCCUAUCUGGAUAUUUUCCAGCCAGCCUUUGUCGAGUUGACUAGAGAGUUUUACACCACUUUUAAGUUUGAAUUACCGACUAGGUAUACUGUUGCGACUCCCGAUAUCAUUCACUUCCGUCUCAUGGGCCAGGAAUUCAAUUUCUCUAUCACCCAGUUCAAUCUGGCUUUCGGUUUCAUCACUCGGGAGUAUGCAGAGACUAGGGAAUACGGUGAGAGUGCCUGCGAUUUUGUGGAACCUUUCCUUACCGCCUACCGUGAGGUGUGGGAGGACAUGUCUGUGGACAUGCAGCGUUACGAUCCCUCUCGGUCUCGGAGCUCCUUUCUAGAGGACCCGAGUGCUCGGUAUGUUCAGCGGCUUUUAGCAUAUAGCUACUCGGGCAGAAAGAACAGCUUCGGUAUUAUCUCUCGGCCGGAGCUCUUCUUCCUUUGGUGUAUGAAGAAUGGGUUCAAGGUCAAUUUGGGUUGUUGGUUGGCGGCACAGUUCAAGACCGUCAUGGCAAAGAAGAACAAGCCGUUGAUUCUUGGGUCGUAUAUCACGUACUUGGCGGUCCAGCUAGGCGUUCUGAAUCUACAGGAUCACGAUUUGCACUUGGCCUGCGACAUGGAGUAUCUCACUGCUGACCGGCUAGAGAAGAUGGGGGUUCUGGAGCUUGUCGAUGGCCACUACCGAUUUGUGCCCCCGGGACCGCCCCGCGCCCCGCCUCGCUCUUCCUCCACCCAUUCGGCCCCAGUUGGCGGUGAUCCUGGCCCGUCGACAUCCGCUCAGCUCCCUCCACCAGCAGGGGCUGAAGAUUGGCACCAAAUCAGGACGCAGAUUCAGAAUUUGGACGCCCGGAUGAUUAGCAUCGAGAGCAACGUGGCGGCUAUAUCACAGAAUCUGGCGGCAUUCCUGCAGCACUCGGGUUUCCCGCCCCCAAUCCCACCUCACCCUCCACUAUGACCCGGUUUCAGGGAAGUUUGGUUACUUUCUCCCUCACUUUUGUUGUUUUUUGACACAUUGAGGACAAUGUGUCCUAUAGGUGUGGGGGGGUCUAUAGUCUUUCUAGUUUUUAGUAGUUGUUAGUUUUUAGUUUUUUAGUAGUUUUAGUUUUAUUUCUAGUUGCGUAUUUUCUUUCUUUUCUUAGUGCUUAUUCCCCAUGUGAAAAGAAAAAGAAAACAAAAAAAAAGAGAAAAAAAUGUUGGUUUAUUGACUCUAACUCUACUUUUGCCAAGUUUUUUUUAAAUAAAAAUGUAUCGGGUUAAUGUGGUUGGAUCCAGAAUAUCUCCCUGGUGAAUAUCGGAUUGCUUGGCUCUUUUGAUUUCUGUGUUAAUUUCUCUAGGCAUAGGGAAUGACUGUUGGCAUUUUAAUGUGAACUGGUCCAAUAUUGACUCCAGUUCUCUAUGUUUGGCAAUAAUGAGGCGAGCUGUUCCUAUUUUUGGUUCUUAGUGUUGUUAUUAUGUGUUUUUGGCUUUGUUUGGCUGUGAAUAAUCUGGACUGUACUCCGCUAUGAGUUACUACUGAGUAACCGAGGAUCGGCACCUAAAAGUGUCGAUUCUCGCGUCAAAAGGUGGUACUUUAUAUGAGUACGUGGUCGUAUAGCAGUAGGAGCUGAGUAACCGGGCUCCUUCAUCUAAAAAUGUUGGAGUUCGCGUCAAAAGGCCCCGACGGCUAACGACUAAGUCUUUUUGUGUUAAUUAUUAUUGCUUUGAAAAACAAAAAAAAAAAAGAACGAAAAAAGAGAGAAUAAAUAAUAGGAAGGCUUGCCGGUUUAUGGACUUAAUAUGGAGACUUGUGUGAAUAUUUGGACCAUUAGCUAAUAAAUGUUGUGCGCCAUUCCCUUUUCUUAGAGUAGUUAACCUGGAAAUUGAAGGAAUUUGCAGUUUAGGGGCUAACCGGGGGGGAGGCUUCUUGGAUUUUAAUCACCAAUGCUCGAUAUAUGUUUUUCUCUUGAAGAUCUUGGCAAUAUAGGAGAUUGGACAAUGGCCAUCAUCGAAUUUUGGUGUUCGUUUACUAUUCUUAUGCUUGAGGACAAGCAUGGUUUAGGUGUAGGGGGAAUUGAUAGGGUGUAAUUUUACUAUUUAUUUUAUUAUUAAUUUCUCCUAUCACCUGACCUGAUGUGGAUUAAUUGCUGGAUUCUGCUCACUUUUAGUACUUUGUAUUUAUUUCAGGGAGUAGAACGGAAAUUUGAUAACAGGUGCUAAUUUGGCAGAAAAAAGUCCAGAUGAUAGAGCUUGCCCCAAGGGCAUUUUUGGAAAGGAGAACUUGUGCCCAUCUUGGUAAUUUGGGAGAAAAGGGAAACAGACAAAAUGGGUCUAACAUGGAUUGGAAGCGGCCGCACAGUAGCAGGGAAGAGGGCAGACGUAAAAGCAAUUGCAGGGGGGAAAAGGAGUUUUUUUAGUUUUUAGCUUAGCAUCUGAUUUUCCCUGGGAGACUUUUGUUAAAGAUUUCCUUUUGGCUGAUAUUACGCAUGGCAGAUGGCUUUUAACUUAUUCCUCCAUCUUUGACUUUUCUUCUUUAGCUUGUAGUAGUGGAUUGCUACUUACGAAUGUCAGCACUUAGCCAUUCGUGGCUUUUGAUCUUUUCUUCCUUAGAAAUUCUGAGUAGCCUCUUUUCCUUUGUGCGCCAGACGAAGUGAAAACUAUAAACUUUUGUAGUGUUUCUAUUCAUUCAAUAUAUUGAGACGAGUUGGAUUCUACCAAAUUUCAAUGGACAUGGCCGCUGGUUUCUCUUCAAUUUUAUAUGGGCUUUGUUCAUCGAACAUGAACUAAUUUCACCACUCUAGUCAAGGAACAACGAAGACUCUGGUUCGCCUAAAAAUUGUGAGAUCGUUUUAAUUUAAUCUUUUCCUUUUAUUUAUUGGUAUCCGCACAUUUCUUGAUUGCUAUGCUUAUGGUUAUUUAAUUAAUUGAUUGUCUUGGAUCCAGAUAAUUAAUUGAUCUGAUAGCCUAUUGUCAAUUAGGGCAUUUAAAUCCGUAAUUGUUUAAUUGUCCUGAAAUAGUGACAACUGGCACGAUUAGAUUCGUGCCAGGGGGGAUAUGCGGGCUAAUCUAAAAUAACCCUGGUAGUGUGUUAUUUGGUUAGAAUAGGGCUCCUCUAAUAUGUAAGGCAAUUGGGGAAUUAAAUUCUACGGGCGUACCUAGAAUUAUUUCUUAAUUAGAGUAGUGAUUAACGGGCGUACCUUGAUCACCGACACAGUAAGGAGGGGUUGACUGCCAUCGCUUGUUUGGCAGUUAUAACAUAUUUAUCAGUAAAUAAUUGGGAUUGCCUUGCAUCAAUGAUCAAUUAGAUGAACUAUUGCUGAAGUUACUUCUUGGCUAGAUCUUUAGUUAAUAUUACCUUGAUUUUGGUGAAUUGCCAUUUGAUUUUUAGUUGCCUACUUUAUUUUAUUUUUAAUUGUUUCCUUGCUUUAAUUGAGUUAGGCCUUUAAUUAUUGUUAUUCUAAGUUUAGUGAAUUGUGGUUUAAUUCCUAAUUAGUUAUUUAUUUUUACUUUCUUAUUUGAAUUUAUUUGCUUGUUAUCAUUCCUACGAAAUCACCCCCCUGUGUUACUUUGGAUUUCUUAAGAAACAAAUAUACCCAGUCCCUGUGGAUACGACCCUACUUGCCCUGUCCACGAAUUCAUAAUUAUUUGUGAAAAGAAAUAACCAUUCCACUCGGGUAUAUCGGAUCAAGCAAACUCUUCGGGAACAGGGUGAAUCAAGUAACCCAUUGCACACCUAAAAUCCCUGCUCCAGUACUUGGAAUUGGGUUUUGGUCAUUUUAACUGGCAAUUAAGUUUAAUUUUAUUAUUGCACAGGCUGACGACCCUGUCAUUGUAUUUGUACCAAAAGUGAAAACUUAACUAUUUUAGUUGUAUUUAUUUCAUCAUGUUGGAUUGUAUUCAAAUAAUUUUUGUUUGAUUGUUUUUAUAAGUUUCAAUUGUAAAAUUAAAAUGAAUAAUAACUUGAUGAUGUGUUGAUAUUUUAGUACUUGAUUAUUUAUUAAAAUUUAAUUAUAAUAAAAUUUUAUUAACUCAACGAGAAAAAUUUUAUUAAUCCCGUGGGGGCACCCGCGGGGAAAGCGGGGCGGGGCGAGGGGAGUGGGAGGCGGAGGACGGGGCGGGGGCGGGGGAUGGGGGAGGGGUCCCCCGCCCCAACCCCGCCAUCCCCCGUCCCGUUGUCAUCCCUAGUAAUAGACUGGCAAGCAUUGUGGUGGUCAUUGAGCAACUUAUAGGAGAAAUAGUCCUAUAAGCUGUUCAAUGACCAAUCACAACUUGCUAAUUGGAUGACUAAUAUAGCUCUAGCUGUAAUGUUUUAAUUAAAUUACAUCACUAACGUUGGGAUGACUUUUUAACCAAAAAAAAAAAGCCUUAGUUCAAGCUUUUCCCUUUAUUGUGCAUUUUUUAAAGCAUUUGAAAGGCACUGCAAAUCUGUCAUUUUGGACAUUUUAUUAUUGACUAACAAUGAAAGCCGUGGACGUCUACCCAUAACCAACACAAGAUUAAAUUAAUAUUAGAAAAAAUAAUUGAGUAAUUGGAAAAAAAAAAAAAAGAAGAGUCUAAUUUUCAUUGAAACCCACCGACAAACUAUACGUGUCCAUGGCUUUUGAAUAGUGCAUUCAACGUUUAAUUGUAUGGUCCAGUUCAUUGCAGAUUACAUGGAGUAAAGAUUGCGCUCUUUCCUUUUCACCCCUUUUGGAAUCGAUACUGUGGAGAAUUGGGUUUUUCCCUCCUUUUUUUCUUUUCUUUCCUUCUGUGGUUUGCAAAACAUACGUAAAAAUAUGAAAUCCGAAGCAUUCUUUAAUUGGUAUUAAGUAUUGUUGUUGAAAUUAAAAAGAAAAAAGAAAGAACAACAAAAUUCCCAAUCUGGGUUGAUUGUUGAGCUCUAGAUUGGUUGCAUCGUGCUUCCAUAGAAGCAAGAUUUGUAAAAUCGGAAUCCUACAUAGGAUCGAUUUUAGUUUCACAGGAUCGGAUUGUAAAAUCGUAAGAUCCUACCAAAAGCUCUCAAUUGCAAUUAAAGGUUGCAAUUCUUUAAUAAAUUACAAAUAUACCACAAAUAUUUUCAUUUACUUGCAAAAUGGAGCUUCGUAUUUCACAAAUUUACAAAAAAAUUGUAGGAUCGUACGAUCCUACCGAUCCUACGAUCCUACACGAUCCUACCGAUCCUGCUACGAUUCUAUGCGAUCCUACAAAGAUUAAUAUGAUUUGCGACUCUGCAUACGAUCCGGAUCGAUUUUGGUUAUCCGGAUCGUAGGAUCGUAUGAUCCUACGAUCCGGAUCGCGAUUUUGACAACUAUGCAUAGAAGCUCUCUUAGUGUGAUACACUGCUUUCAAUCAGUUUAACACGGGAAAAAAAAAAAGAGAUGAAAAGCAAAUUUGGUGGAGAUAAUUUCAGAAACCUCCCCUGAAGAUUUUGACUAUUCUACUGGUUUCCCUUCAGAUUUUAAAAAUUACACUAAUCUUCCUUGAAGUUAAUUAUCUUGUAACAUUUAAAUUCAAUCAAUAAUUUAAAAAAUGAUAUUAUGAGAGAGAAAAUAAUAUGAUUUUAUCAUUGCCCCCCAUCUUACUACAUUAUUUAAUUAAUUUAAUAGCAACCCACACAUUAAAGAAAAAUAUUAAAAUUUGUUGUUUAUCAUUAAAGAUCAAAUCGCUUAUAACAUCAAAUAAUAGUAUAUUAUUUAUAUUUUUCACUUAAUAUAAUAUCCAAAUUACUCUUUUCAAUUACAUACCCAUUGUUAGAGAAUCAACAACAAAUAACCAAAAAAUUUGCAACCAAAAUAUUACAAAAAAAAUAAACUUUAACAUCAUAAAUAUUCUUAUCAACAUAUUAAAGUUAGUUACUGAAAUUUUUAUGCUGUUAAACUUCACUCUUUUUGAAUACAGAUUUUUUUGAUUAUUUGUUAUUAAUUAUGUUUGAUGAUGGGUUUAUAAUUGAAAAGAACAAUUUGAAACUUACAUUAAGUAAAAUAUAUAGAGUGAUAUACUAUUUUUUAUAACAUAUGUGAUUCAAUCCUUCUUGAUAGGAUUGGUAAUAGAGGUAGAGGGGGGAGUCGGCUGCAUCCGGUCUUCUUUUCAUAGAUAGUACAAUAUUGCGAAAUCAAUCGCAUUCACACAAUAAUAUUUCGAAGUCAAUGCAUGGCUAAGUUGCAUAAAAGUACGAACACUUGUUAUUAUAUAGCUUAAGAUUCAAAACUUUCGAGCAUAACCCUCCACCCAACACAAUUGAAUAAUGAAUAUUCACGAUUGUCAAAUCUGUCAAAGCACAGUUUGAGGACAACCCAUUCCAACCUGCAAAAGAUUUUUUACUUUUCUAAAGUUGUUGAGAGCUGUAAAAAGACUUACCAUGCUUGCAUCCUCCGAGCCUUGGGAGUUAAAAAUGAAGGCACUGAGUGCUAUAAAAAGGGGAAUAGAGGCUGCCUAGAAGCAUAUCAGCCUAAAACAAGAAUUUGUAGUUAAGAUGGGAAGCAAAGCAAAAGCAAUGGGGUCUGGGCUGACUCCUCUUCUUGCCACUGUUUUAGUGGUGUUUGUUGCUCUUGGCUUGCCCUCACAAACUGCAGCUGAUGAUCACUACAAGUAUUCAUCUCCUCCUCCUCCUUACCACUAUCCCUCACCACCACCACCAGUGCAUAUACCUCCACCUCAUCCUGUUUACAAGUACAAAUCUCCACCACCCCCACCACCACACCCAGUUUACAAGUAUAAGUCACCACCACCACCUCCUCAUCCGGUAUACAAGUAUAAGUCUCCUCCGCCACCACCACACCCAGUUUACAAGUACAAGUCACCACCACCACCUCCUCAUCCGGUACCACACCCAGUUUACAAGUAUAAGUCACCUCCACCACCUCCUCAUCCGGUACCCACAGUUUACAAGUAUAAGUCACCACCACCACCUCCUCAUCCGGUAUACAAGUAUAAGUCUCCUCCGCCACCACCACACCCAGUUUACAAGUAUAAGUCACCACCACCACCUCCUCAUCCGGUGCCACACCCAGUUUACCACUACAAGUCACCACCACCACCUCCUCAUCCGGUACCACACCCAGUUUACCACUACAAGUCACCACCACCUCCUCACCCAGUUUACAAAUACGAGUCUCCACCACCACCAGUUUAUAAGUACAAGUCACCACCACCUCCUCCACCAGUUUACAAGUAUAAAUCUCCUCCACCACCACCACCAGUUUACCACUACAAGUCUCCACCACCUCCUCCCCCAGUUUACAAAUACAAGUCUCCACCACCUCCUCACCACUACUAAGCAAUUGCUUCUGAGGUAAUAACACUUGUUCAAUAUACCCACUUCUGCAUGAUAAAGCAUAUCUCUAUCAACACAAACUGUCAUGUCUAUCAUGCUAAGUGCCUUCACUUCAUCCACCAAAAUGACUGCUAGAAAAUUUUUUUUAUGUUACCAAAGAAAGGCAUCAUUUUUUCCCUCUGUUAUCAAGAACUUGUACAGUAUAUAGAUUAAAGAGUAUUUUUUUAACUAGCUUAUCAACUGAGAAAUGCAUAUAGCUGAUAGCCAGCUGAAUAUUUGCAGGCAAAGGAGAAGGAAACCAUGUUUGAGACCUUCUUGAAGAUGUAGAAGCAUAAGAAUAAAAGCCCAAUGUGAAGAUGAUGAUUUCAAGUUUUUCUACGUUACCAUUUCUUUAUCUAAAUUGGUUGUAGCGCCCAAGUUCCUUUGUUUAUGGGAUUUGUAUCGUUUUACGUACCAUGCAGUACAUGUCAUGUUUGUAAGGUUUUCUAUCCUGCCGGCAAACCGCAGGUUCCAUGUGAUAAAUGAAUACUAUUUAUGUUACGACACUUUUCUCUGUUUCUCUUAUAUUUUGUCUUUAAUAUUCUUAAUCAUAUUUUUAACAAAAAUAUUCAAACACUUAGGCAAUCUGGUCUAAUGCUAAUUGUAUGUUUUACUUUUCUUUUUCACCUGCUCCCCUUUUCAACUCAAAAGGAUGCAAUAGUUUGUGAUCACUGUUUAAGACGGAAGCAUGAUACUAAUGAAUAUCUCAUUGAAACUCAAGGAAACUAACAUUGCGAAAAGUGUAAAUCUUGAUUUGAUGCAACUAUUUAUUCGUGGAAUCUAUAGUUACAAAACUCAAAUUCUGACUGCGCCAUUGAUAAAUUAUUAAUGACGCUAUCAUCAUUAUUUAUCCCUAACUAGUUUCGACUACAACUGAACCCAAUAUUUUCCCCAUGAUAAAAGUUUUUGACUAUUUUACUGGCCUCUCUUCAAAUUUUAAAAAUUACACUAAUCUUCAUUGAGAUUAAUUAUCUUGUAACAUUUAAGUCCAAUUAAUAAUUAAAAAAUGAUAUUAUGAGAGAGAAAAUAAUAUAAUUUUAUCAUUGCCCCCCAUCUUGCUAUAUUAUUUAAUUAAUUUAAUAGCAACCCACACAUUAAAGAAAAAUACUAAAAUUUGCUGCUUUUCAUUAAAGAUCAAAUUGCAUAUGCCAUAAAACAUAGUAUAUCAUUCUAUAUGUUUCACUUAAUGUAAGAUCCCAAUUGUUCUUUUCAAUUACAAACCCAUUGUCAAACAUGAUCAAUAACAAAUAAUCAAAAAAUUUGCAACCAAAAUAUUACAAAAAAAAACUUUAACAUCAUAAAUAUUCUUACCACCUCUAGUGCAUUCACCCUCAUAAAAUAAUUCAAGACCCUACUGUCAUAAAAUGACUGAUCAACUCCUGUAAACCUAAUUUGACAACAUUUAAAUGGAGAACUUUAGCUAAAAGAAUUAUGGUCAAGCUAAAGAAAAAACCAGUUAUUUUCCAACAUAUGCAACCAUUGAUCAGGGGAAAAAAAAAAGCAAAAAGACAUCUUCAAUCAUUUAAUAGCUUACAGGGCAAAUUAACCCUUGAGUGAAAACUGGUUGCUCUAGAAUUAAAAUUUUACCUUAGUUACCCAGGCAACUUUUUUGUUGCCUUUUCUUUUUCUUUUUUGGGUAUAUAGCUCCAGUUUUGCCCCCUCUGUCAAGCUUAUAUAAUUAUUAAGAUAAUAAAAGUGCCUUUAAUAGUAUUAAUAUAUCCAUUGACUUGAGCUGUCAUCGAUCGGUUUGGGCUACUUCGAUUCCAUGAGAACAAAUGGUAAUAAAAGUACUCAGAAAAUGGGGAGUCAUGAAACCCUUUUGUUCUAUUCAUUGCUAAGAUGCUUUUCUCUAUAAAGAGACUUCCUAACGAAAAUACUUUGUAGAUUUCUUUACUCCAAGUGGUGCAUGGAAAAUUAAUAUUUUCAAUUAUCAAAUAAAAUUCCCUUUUUUCGGCGUAGAUUUCAUCCAUCCAGCUGUUAACACAUUCUAUAAAUCCGAAUUGACUAAUCUUUUCGUUUCCAUUUUCCAACUUGCGAAUACGGCAUAUAGUGUCUGCUAAACACUAUAUAUUCUCUGCCAAAUAUGAAUACAUAUCACUUUUCUGAGCAAGUGCAGAGUCAUUAUCAUUUUUAUUCCCACCUAACAAAUUAGGGAUAAAAAAGUUAAUAAUCUUUACAUGCUAUCAGGUCACAAGUUAAUAAUCUUUUAAAGAACAUGUUAAAUUAAUUUAUUGGUAUGAAUAGUAGUCAAAGAAGUAUGUUAAAGUUAGUAAUCUUUAAAAUAAUAUGUUAAAAUCAUUCGUACAAAUUAGUCAGAGAAGUAGCAUAAACACCGCGAUGCAAUUAAUACUUUCAAUCUCAAGGUCUCUAUUAUGGAAAUUUGCAUCGGUCAAUAUACACUUGGCAUAAUAUAAUCUCCCAACUCAUUUCUUUACAAAUGCACCUUUAAUCACCACCAAAAGGUGUGGACAUGAUCUUUACCCUAGAAAACUAUUCACCGACAGGCAAAUUGACGUCAGAAAUACUGAGGAAUUCUAGUUUCCUUCGGGUUCAUGCCAUGUUGUAUCCUUCAACUGUAACUCGAUUUCUAAGCUGUAAUUUGUGACAUAAUAGUCCUUAAACUAUGAAACCCUUCUUACUUAAUUACAAUGGUUAAUACAAUGCCCGUGACUAGACAAGUAUGAAGCAACCAUAACAGAAAAAAAAUCCAAAAUUAGAGAAAAGAAAGAAGUUUCGCGACCACCACCAGUUUACAAGUCACCUCCACCACCUCCUCCAGUUUACAAGUCACCUCCACCACCUUACCAUUAUUCCUCACCACCACCUCCAGUGCAUUCACCCCCACCACCACCAGUUUACAAGUCUCCGCCACCACCUUACCAUUAUUCCUCACCACCACCUCCUGUGCAUGCACCUCCACCACCAAUUUACAAGUCACCUCCUCCAGUUUACAAGUCUCCACCACCACCUUACGAUUAUUCCUCACCACCACCUCCAGUGCAUUCACCCCCACCACCACCAAUUUAUAAGUCUCCCCCACCGCCUCCCCCAGUAUAUAAGUCACCACCACCACCUCCUCCAGUAUACAAAUCACCUCCACCACCUCCUCCAGUUGACAAAUCUCCACCACCACCAAUUUAUAAAUACAAGUCUCCUCCACUACCUCCUCCAGUGUACAAGUCAUCACCACCACCUGCUUACAAGUCUCCACCUCCUCCAGUUUACAGUUCCCCACCACCACCAAUCUACAAGUCUCCACCUCCACCCUACCAUUACUACUACAAUUCUCCUCCUCCUCCUCGUCACUACUAAGCAAUUGUAUCCAAGUUUUUGAGGUAAUAACGCUUAACCAAUAAAUUAACUUUCGCAUGAUAAACCUUAUCUCUAUCAAGACAAACUGCCAUGUGUAUCAUGCCAAAUACGUACACCUAGAUCCAUGAAAAUGAAUGGUAGAAAGUUUUCUUAAGAACCAAGAACAGCAUUAGUAUUCCCUCUGCUUCCAAAAACUUGUGUAUUAAAUAGAUUAAUGAAUUGUUUAACAUGCUCAUCUACUUGAAAAUGCACAAUACCCAUAACCCACUGAAAUUUUUGCAGGAAAAGGGAAAGAGAAUCUGUGUUUGAGAGCUUCAUGAAGAUGUUGAAGAAUAAGAAUAAAAGCCCAAUGCAAGGAUGUUUUCAAGUUUUUCUAUGUUUCCACUUUAAUUUGUAAAUUGAAUUUUGCGACUCAAUUAAUUCCCUGUUUGUGAGGUACGUAUUGUUUUACGUACCAUGCCGUACAUUUUUUUUUUCCAACAAACGGUAUCAUGUUAUAGAUAUUAACACUUGACCUUACAAGGAUUAGUUACAAAAAGGGGAUACUACCCUCAACUCUGUCCUAGCUAAAUCAGUCAGCCAUAUUGGGAAAUUAGUUUCCCAUUCAAUAUCAUGUACAAGCUUCACAGCAUAUUGUGCUAAUUGAUGGCUGAUGUGAUUUUCAGUUCUAGGUAUAAACACAAAAGAACAUUUUUCAAAAGCUAGACUAAGUUCCUGCACAUCUUCUAAGAUAGUUGCAGUCGUGUAGUCAUACUCCUUGCGUUUAGUAAUCUGCUCUACCACUGAUUUGCAGUCUGUAUGGACUAUAAUUUGUGUCCAACCUGCUUGGGUAGCCAUCAGCAGAGCAUUUCUCACAGCCCGAGCUUCCACUUCACUUGCCGAUCCCUUUCCCUGUGUGACAAUUCCUUUUGCUUUCAAAAGCUGUCCUUUCCAAUUUCUUGCUAUAAUCCCUUGUCCGGUCCUGACUCGUUUAGCUGAUAUCGCUGCAUCGGUAUACAGCCUUAUCUCUUCCUUCCUUGGCCGCACUCUCCUGGUAGGUAAGGCAUCAUUCAGCUUCCCUGCGAUCUCCUUCUGGUCUGUACUCCCUACCUGUUCAAACUCAAGCCAUUCCUCCUGUGCUUUCCUUACUAUUUUUACUGGAUCCUGGUUGGCUUGUUCAAAAAAUUUUUUGUUCCUGGCUUUCCAAAUUUGCCAAAGGAUAUUGAUAGUAAGACUAACUCUCUCCUGACCUUGGUUCAGUGCCAGCGAUUGUGUGACUUGUUCCCACCAUAACCAAAAGUUAUAUUGCAUACCCAGUAAUCCAUCCCACCUGACCGGUGCUAGCUUCCACGUUUCCACAGCCUUUUCACAGAAGAAAAACAAAUGCUCAAUAGUUUCCAUAUCUUCACCACAGCAACCACAUCUGCCUUCCCCUCUAUGUAGCCUUUUCGACAUCUGUUCAUUGACUGGCAGACAAUUUUGUAAGCACUUCCACAUGAAGUGUUUUAGUUUGGCCUUCACCUUCAAAUGCCAUAGCUGCUUCCACACAUUUCGUUUUCGUAUCUCCCAACUUGUUUCUGCCUCUUGGCCUGUCCUUGUACCUGCUUUUCCUUCCCGUUGCCUUGCUAAAGCAUAACCAGAUUUCACGCUAUAAAUUCCAGCUUUGGAAUGCCCCCAUACCAACCUAUCCUUUCUUCUUCCUAUACUUGUUGGAAUUCCCUUUAUGUGCUCUGCAUCUUUUGCACAAAACCACUUGAGAAGCAAAUCAUUUUUCCAUUUCCCUUCCUCUAUCAGCUCACUUACCCAUUCCAACUUGCAUCCCACAGGUUGUGUGGUUGAUGCAAAGCCGGUAUCUGAACCAACUAUCCAUCUGUCCCGCCACAUGUUGACUGACUUGCCAUCUCCAAUUCUUUUCCAAAGACCAUCAUACAGAAAGGAGGCUGCACUAUGAAUACUCUUCCAACACCAUGAGGCUGAAGAGACUGGCUUCUUGUCCAUCCAUUUUUCAUCACUCAUAUACUUCGCCUUCAUUACCUUACUUACUAACAAAUUUGGAGCCAUUAAGAAUCUCCAAAUUUGUUUUGCCAGUAAUGCUGUGUUGAAGGCCUCCAAAUCUCUAAAGCCUAAACCUCCUCUUCCCUUAACUUCUAAGAGCUUCUUCCAGCUUGCCCAAUGUACACAGGUACCCUUUUCUCCCUUCCCCCACCAGAAACUCGCUAUUUUACCUGUGAUUUGUCUACACAAACCCCUUGGAAGUCUAAAGCAAGCCAUCACAUAUGUUGGCAUAGCCAUAAUCACUGAUUUGACCAGAAUUUCUUUCCCUCCUUGGCUCAACAGUUUUUGUUUCCAACCUUGCAACUUGUUACUAAUUUUGUUCUGGACAAAUGCAAAGACCUGUGUCUUUGAUCUUCCAAUUGCCAUUGGGAGUCCUAGGUAGGUUCCAUUCCUUGCCUCUUUAAUGUUAUCUAAUACCUCCCUCACUCCAUUCUUCCUUUGAUCAGUGGUAUUUUUGCUAUAGAAGAUAGCUGACUUUUCAAAAUUCACCACCUGUCCGGAUGCUUGACCAUAUCUUUCCAAUAUGCUUUUGACCUUCCUCGCCUCCUGCUUGGUUGCUUGGCAGCAUAGUAGAGAAUCAUCUGCAAAAAAUAGGUGAGAAACCAUCGGACUGUCCUUGCAUAUUUUGAUCCCUGUAAUUUCCUUGUUCAUCAUAGCUUUAUGGAUCAAACAUGAAAGACCUUCAGCGCAUAUAAUAAACAAGUACGGGGAUAGGGGGUCUCCUUGUCUAAGCCCUCUACUCGGUUGAACACAGCCUACCUUUUGCCCAUUUAAGUUGAAGGAGUAAGUCACAGUAGAUAGGCAAGACAUGAUCCAUUUAACAAAAAUUGGACAAAACCCCAUUUUCAUCAUAACUCUCCCCACAUAUUUCCAUUCGACUCUAUCGUAAGCUUUGGACAUGUCCAGUUUAAGAGCCAUAAAUCCUACCCUUCCCUUUCUCCUAUUUUUCAAAAAAUGCAGGAUUUCAUGUGCAACUACUACAUUAUCAAGAAUUUGACGGCCUGGGAUAAAAGCGGAUUGAGAGGGACUAAUACAAUGAUGCAAGACACCUUUCAAUCUAUUAGCUAUGAUUUUAGAAAUGAUUUUAUACAGGACAUUGCACAAGCUAAUAGGUCUAAAAUGCACCACAGAUUCAGGAGUAUCAACUUUAGGAAUCAACGAAAUAAUAGUAUCAUUCACAGCUUUGAGCAAAUGCCCAGUAUGAAAGAAACUCUUAAUAGCUGCUACCACAUCAUCCUUGAUAAUAUCCCAAUAGUGUUGAAAAAAUAGAGGAGACAUACCAUCCGUUCCUGGUGCUUUAUUAGGGUGCAUCGAGAACAAAGCUUUCCUGAUCUCACUUUCCUCCACUUGUCGUAUCAGUUGUCCAUUCAUAUGACUCGAAAUAGUGCUUGGAAUUUCAGCUAGAAUGUCCUCAAAGCAGUCCGGGUUAGUAGUGGUAAAAAGGUCUUUAUAGUACUCACAAAGUUCCUCCUCAAUCUCAUGUUCCUCCUUGCACCAUGUCCCAUCUUUUUUCUGCAAUAUAGUGAUCUUAUUUCUCCUCCUCUUUGCCAUGACCGAAGAAUGGAAAAAAGCUGUAUUCUUGUCCCCUUCUUUGAGCCACUUGUUCCUGGAUUUUUGACUCCAAAACAUCUCUUCCUCUGCAUAAGCUUUAUUCAAUUGUGCUUUUAGUUCAGCCACUUGUACUCUUUUCCCUUCAUCCUUUCUUGCUUUCACUUCAGCCAAUUUCUCCUUUAACACUUUAAUUCUAACCUUUGAGUUUCCCUGCACCUUUUUCCUCCAAUCCAGAAUAGCCAUGCGACAUUCCUUUAUUUUUGUAGCCACUCUAAACAUCCUGGACCCUGACUUCACCUUUGUCCAUGCUCCUUGAAUCACCCUUUUUGCUUCUGGAUUUAGCGUCCAUCGUUGAUCAAAGUAAAAUCUCCGUUUUCUCCUUGUGUUUUCCGGGUUUGUAUCCACAAGAAGCAUUAGAUGAUCAGAGGCUUCAGUAUCUAAAUGAGUACACUGUGCCUUUUCAAAUCUUUGCAGCCAUUCGGUGCUGCAUAAACAUCUAUCCAACCUCUCUUUCACUUCCCCAUCCCCCUCCCAACUAUUGCACCAAAUCCACGGGACCCCUUGAUAACCUAAGUCAACCAGGUUAUUGUCUUUGAUAAACCUGUUGAACUCCCUAAAACAUCUUUCAGCUCUAUCCCUUCCUCCCCACUUCUCCUCACUAGACCUCAAAUCAUUAAAAUCUCCUACAAUGAUCCAGCCAUCCCCCCAGUCCCUCAUCCUGUCCUCUAAAUAUUUCCAUUGUGCUUUUCUAAUGUUACUAUCUGUGCUUGCAUAAACACACACUAGCCCCCAGUAUCCUUUAGUAUCCUUGUCCUCAACUCUAGCACUAAUACACCAAUCAGUACUUACAAUCUGGUCUAAAAUCACCUCAUUGUUCCAGAAUAAUGCUAGACCGCCUGCUUUACCUAUUGAAUUCACAAAAAAGCUAUUGUCAUACUGAAUCUUCCUUUGAACCUUGCCCAUAAACCCUUCCUGAUUCUUAGUUUCACAAAGGAACACCACCUUAGGAGAGUGGAAGUUAGUCACUUCCUUUAGUUGGGGACUUGUCAAGGGGCCUCCUACACCUCGACAAUUCCACACCACAACCUUCAUUUACACUUUGGAGGCUUUCCGGGGCUAGCCUCCAUUUCCCCUAUUGUACUAACAUUUAUUAGAUCCAGUUUCAUAACCUUUACCUUCGGUACAUUAUCAUCAUCCUCCUCUAUCGGUUGUGUUCCCUGAAACAUACCAUCAGCCUUCCUUUUAGCACACGAAACCUGCGUUACUUGUCCAUUUGUAUCUGCCUUUAAGGAUGUUUUAGCCGGCCUCCCUCUUCUUUUAAAACUGCUUCUUUUUUCAGCUUUGUUAUCUUCUUCCCCUGGAGUAGCCUCCUUUCUUGGCAUUCUUGCAUUUGUCUCCUCCUGCUUUAUUGACCCUACCCGCAAACUUUCACAUUCCUGUUUUGAGCUGUCCGUUUCCAUAUCCUCAUAAUCUACUGGUGGGAUUACGCUGCUCCCUCCUUUACUCCCUUCCUGUACCCUACCCUCCUUUUCACCAUUUCCCUCCAUUAAGACCACAGCCAAACUUUCCACCCGUUGGUUUGCCUUUCCAUACUGCCUGCUGUCUUUUAGAAUCUCAUCCCACCUCUCUUCAUAUUGUCUCGUCAUCAUUUUCUCCUUAUCCCCCCUUUCCUUUCCCCCCAAGACUCUACCAUUUUUUCCCCCAAGAGUUAAUGUAUCUCCAGCCAUUUGUACUCCAGUUUGAACUUCACUACUAGGAGACCCUGCCCCCACCCUCCUUGCAUCAAUUUCACUUACUCCUUCCAGCCGUCCCUUUAAGGGAGAUACCAUUAUAUUUCCAGCUCUCAUCCAGGCACCAUAUUGUUCCUCUCGCUUCUCCCCCCCACCCUUCCUACCACAGUACAAGUCCUAUCACUAUGCCCAAUGAUACCACACCUAUAACAGAAAUCAGGGCAGCGUUCAUACCUGAACUCAACCCACACUGCCUGGUUCUUACAGUUGAUCUUUGUCCCUCUAACCAGUGGUUUCGUUAUAUCUACCUCAGCCAUAAUCUUCAUGUGGCGACCCUCUUUCCCACCACUUCCUGGGAGAAUCACUCCCCUCACUGAUUUAAAGAUCCCUCCUAUUUUCAAACCCACUGCUCUGCUCAACCAGUGCACCGGUAGGUUCCAUAGUUGAAUCCAAAGAAAGGAAUGCUGGAAAAAGCUGCUGUUUGUAUCAUACCCCUCUACCCACUCCUUCACUAUCAGCAACUGGUUGUCCAUGACCCAAGGCCCUCCAGAUAAGAUCUUUUUCUUUUCCCCUUCAUCUCCCAGAUGGAAAUGGAAUAAGUUAGGACCUAACUCAGUCACUUUCAUCUUUGAGGGGUAUCCCCAUGCAUGAUUUGUAAAGUUCUUUAACCCCGUAAAGUUGGCAAUUUUUUCACCAAUCAGCUUUCCUACCAGGCUUCCUUGACACUCAGAGACGCCUUCUUCCAGGUCCUCACCACUCAGAUCGACACCUCCUAACUCUGUUUCAGACAAGUCAAAAUUUUGAAAGGCUCUUUCUAAAGCAUCCGCCAUUGCUGUGACGAGAGCUCCUUGAGAAACCAAGCACUAUUUCUGAGCUAUGAGUGACCCACUGACAGACCUGUGAAGAAUUGCAAAGACAGACAAAGCUGUGUUAUCCGUACACACUAAAAACCAACCAGAAAAACAGAGAGGAACUCGACAGAAAAAGCACAGGCACAAGAAGAAACGAAAGAAAAAAGAAAAACCAACAAACCACUAUCCCACUCCCGACCACAUAACAGCAUUAAAGAAAGGGACACAAAUACGACACUCCAACUUCCGAUCACAUGCUCUGACUCAAUGGAUCAUAUCUUGCCCAAAGCGUUUACUCCUCCAACCGAUUCCAAACCACUACAGACAUUGUCUCCCAUUUUGAAGCCGGAAGAAAGGUGGCUUCUGGACAGGGAACAUGAAAGCAAAGGUUGAACUAAAGAUUUGAUUUUAGAUCUGAAAAUUACGCUGUAGGAAAAAGUGCUAUGUGUUUGUACCUCACCCACUCUCCCACACCGAGGAGGGGAACCUCUAAAGUUAGAGAGAGAAGCUCUCAAGUUAGAGAGAAGCUUUGGAAGUUAAUUACCAACGUACCAUGCCGUACAUGUUUGUAAGGAUUUCUAUCCUAUUGGCAAAAGUCGGUUCCAUACAAUUAAUCAAUUCAUUUCACUUCUAUUGGCUCUACUAUUUAUGCAUGUUACGACACUCUUUCCCUUAUAUUUUGCCUUUAAUAUUAUGAGUCAAUAGUAAUAAUGGGCCUUUUUCUUAAAAUUAUACUAUUAUACAUAGGUAGUUUGGUCUAACGCUAAAUUCAUGUUUGUCUUUCUUUUAUUCCCUUUACAUCUCAAAGUAUACUAUAGUUUGUAAUCAUUGUGGUGAUGAUAUUACCAGCUGGUACUUAUAGUUUAAGGCAGAGACAUGAUAUUAACAACUAUCUCAUUGAAACAUAAGUCAAAAUCAUGACAAGUGUGAGUCUUGGUUAAUGCACAAUUUGUUAGUGGAAUUUAUAUUUAUAAAACUCAAAAAAAAUUUUUGACAAUGCUAUUACUAAUUAAUUAAGGACUUCAUUGCUAUAAUUUAUCGCUUACUAAUUUAAACUAUAAAUGAUCUCAAUACUUUUCUCCAUGAUGUCGAUUUCUUUAGACUACGAAAGGGAAAAAUUAGUGACAUAUCCCUUACUGAUUACAACAUCAGCAAAAAUUAGUUAUAAACUUUUCCGGUGGUUUUAAAUCCCUCGGGCACUAAGGUUUUUUGCACAUCGAGUGAAUUAAGGAACAUAGGCAAUUCGUUCUGCAUACCAAGUCCUUGUUUAAGAUGCACGUACUAAAAUGCAUCCACUUCAUUAAUUUGGAAAAUUGCCAUAGUUUUUUUUAAGCAUUUUGAUUUUUUACAUGAUUCAAAAUUUUCUUAUUGGAUACAAUCACUUUGUGUCAAGAACACAUUUUCAAUCAUCUUUUUUAUCUUCUCAAUAAGAAAAUAAAAAUUUAUUCAUGCUUUUCUAACAUAUCCAAUCAUUGAUCUGAAAAAUAAAGAAUUAAAAAAAAAAGACAUUUUCAAUCAUUGCUUACGGGGCAACUUCCCCAUGUGAACCUCAUCAAACAAAGCCAAUAAUAUGAAGGAACAUCUAAAUACACUUUUGCCCUAAAGGCUGGUUGCCUUGGGGUCAAAAUUUAACCUUCGGGAGUAUAAUUACCCGCCAAAUUUAUUAUUUUUUUUAUGGGUAUAUAGUUCCAAUUUUGCCUCCUGUUAAGCUUAUAAAUAUAUUACGACCCAGAAAAUAAAGGAAUCUUGAAUAGUAACAUGUCCAUUGACUUGAGUUGUUAUCAAUUUGGCUACUUCGAUUCCAUGAGGCCAAUCCAAUUCACACUAGCUAGAGAAAAUGGUGAUAAAGGCACUUAGAAAUUUAUAUGUAAUAUUGAUUGGUAGUAACUGAUAAGUAUAUAUUUUACGUGUUUUAAAUAUGUUUUAUUAGUUAGUUUUGGUGUGUUUUAACUACUUUUAUAACUAAUUAACUAGGAAUCUAGUGAAAAUAUGCAUUUUGUGGUUUGAAGUGUAAAAAUUGUAUUUCUAUGGAUUUUAAUGGUGAAAACUUCAUGUUUUUGUAGGUUUAAUGAUUCAAUCAUCAAAUGACAUGAUUUGAGAAGAUAAUUAGAUGAUUGAUGAUGUUUUGAAGUGAUAAAAAGAGAAUACAAAGUGCAAGAGAGGAAAUGCAAUCAAGAAUAAAAGAAGAAAAUUUUUGUAGCUUUGACAUAUUGUCGUAUUUCGGCAAUAUAUUGAGCUACAAUGAUCGGAUUAAGGUGAUUCUUAAACCAUUUGAAGCUAAAAUAUAGAUCUACAUUUGGCAUGAAGGCAUCGAAACCCAUGUCAGUCAUUUUCCUUGUCAAAAUGUUGAAAUACAGAAGUGCAACUCUGUUCUCGAAAGCUAAAACAGAGCUCUGGCUAGUCGAGGGUAUUUUCAUCAUUUCUUAGUCCACAGAGCUCCAAAUGAGAUGAUUCUUAAGGCAUUAGAACCCUAACUCAAAGAGCUACAACUUUCAUAUUUUGUACAAGAGUUAGUUCGGCCUCUAUCAUUAAGAAAAUAGUAGUUGAAGUGGUGCCAAAUGCAUAGAAGUGAAAACGCGAGCUAUCAAUACUCGACCUGAAGUCGCGUAUUCCUGAGGUCAUGCAUUCUCUUCUAUUUUCUGCAACUUGCCCUGCUUUCACAUAACUUUUUCAUCUCAAUUCCAACUAUCAAUUUCGGCUAUAUCUGAUCAAGAAAAGUGUGGAAAGUUUGAAAGACAACUCAUAGGAGUUUCAAGAGUCAAAAAUUACAAUUAGAAACAACUCAUUUGGCUCUUGAAUCCUCUAUAAAUAGAGGCCUUUGAAGAACAUUUUCACAACUUUGGAAGGUUAGAGAAACUCCACAAAAACAUAGUCUUCACUAGAAUUUCCUUAGUUCAUUAGUUAGGGUAGUAUAGUAUAGUUAGUGUAGCUUUUCCUUCUUGUAUUUAUAGUUAGGUUUGAAUGAAGAUUCAGGAGCAAAGAUAGAGAGGUUGAUCUCAUGUGACAAGGGUGAUAUCUCUUCUACUACUUUCUCUUUUGUAUUUGAUUUCAUAUUUAACUAUACUACAAAUUUGGCUUUGUUUUUUUUUUUUUAUCAUGUUUAGUUAAAGUUUAUGCCUAGAGUAUGGAUGACCUUUUUAUAUCUUGUUUGUGAUAUUUAACUGGUUAUUUGAUGAUGUUAUUUUUGAGCAAGUUAUUUAUCACUUUUGCUUUUCUAAUCAUGAUUAACUGGCCAUUAGUUGUGAUUAUCUAAAAGUGUUAAGUUUGUAAUGAGAAUUGGAGUUUAACACUAGUUCAAGGAAGUGAUAAAUUUAGGGAGUUCACUCAUGAGAGUAGAGGAACACCUUUGUGACCUAAGUGACUUGUUUCAUAUAAUUUCAUAGAAAAAAUGAACUUGUAAUUAAUUUCAUAACCACGAGAGUAAGUAUGGUUUAGCUAUAUGUAUAGUUGAUUCACUACGAGAGUAGGUUUCACAUACAUUAGAAAAUUACAUCAUAACUAGUCAAGAUAAUAUCAUUCAUUUAAUCAGUAAUCUCAUUUGCAUGAGUAGUAAGGCAUUCCAUAUCUCUAGGAGGUUUUUAGUAUUAUUUUCAUUACUUUUAUGUUUAUGGUAGUCUAGAUAAUAAUGGAGUUCGAAAACUACUAGUAAUUGAAAAUUUUCCCUGUGGGAUCGACCUUUAAUACCCUAUACUCGCUCUCGACUCGUAUACUUGAGAAAAAUCACGUGUGCGGUAUUUAGAAUUUAUAAAUGUAAAACUUGACUGUAGAUGAACUAAUUGAUAUAUGUAUACCCCGCACUCGUCAGUAACCAGCUUGUAUUGAUCCCACUAUUGUGGAUAAUUGUGCUCUUAUGAAAAAAAAUUAUAAAAAAAUUAGCAAAAUUUAUGAUAACAAAUUAAAUUUAUUCAUACAAAUCAGUGAAAGAAGUAGAAUUUUAAAGUCCAUGAUGAAAUUAAUACUUUCAAGGGCUCUAUUAGGAAGACUUCACUUGUUGGUGAAACUACACUAGCACAGUUAUAUGCACAUUUACUGUUUUGGUAUCUAAUUUCCUUGCCUUAAGUUGGGUGCAGAUGUUUAUAUUACAAAUAGAUGGUAUCAUAAAAUUGUUGUAUUCACGUUUGUUCUUUUUUUUCUUCCUUAAGUUUUUUUCUUUAUUCUCGUGACUUCAAAAAUACGAACUCAAGAAAUUGGCUGCUUAAUCAAUAUGUCAUACAGGCUUCGCUAGUGAGGUAUAACUUCACAACUAGAGUCAAUAGAAAUUAUCAAAUGAUUUUUUAACAUCCAAAUUAAGCAAUAAAUUUUGUUUUCAUUUUAUGACAUAUAAUAGUACUACUUCAUGAGAGAUUUUAUAGUUUCUUUUAGGUAUCAUACCUACAAGUGAUAUUUGUCAUUGGAUAGUGACAGAAGUGUUAAUGAUUGUAAGAUUAAAUAUUGUUAAAUAUUGAAAUUUAAACUAUUUAUCUUUAUUGAAAGAUACAAGUUAAAGAAUCGUUCAAGGGGGCAAUUUUCCAUCUUGUCUUUUUGAAAAAACGCUAUCACAUUGUAUAGGCAUGAUAGGUUCAAAUUUGUCAUUAAAUUUAUGAUUGAUUUUCCUUUUAUUCAAGCCAAAUAUUGUUUUAAUUAUCAAAUUCUACUUAUAUUUGGUUAAUUGUACUAAUUGUAGGGCGGUAGAGCAAAAGUUGCUAAAAAUAGGCGAUUUUCUGCAAAUUGGUUGUCAAGGCUGAAGGAUUUGGGAUUCGCAUGUUCAAGGCCUGUUUCCAAGUUUGAUUCAAACUCUGGACAGUUUUAGAGGAAGAUUUGGAAGAUUUGAAAUUUCAUUAUUAGUUUUAUGGUUGAAUUAGGAAUCUUGGAAUAAUUUCUUUUGUGAUUUAUUUUUCUAUUUAGGAGACUAGUUGUUAUUUAGUAGUAGACUUCAAUUAGAAAACAAAGAGAAAAAGAAGGCCGGAAUCCCGCUUGAUUAAUACCUUGGCCAGGGAACAAUCUCGGUGGGGAGGACGGCCACUUAGCCUCUCAAUUCAUCUUGCUUUUCGUUAGUUUGAGAGGAAAACCAAUUGCAACUAGAUUCAAUGGAGUCUGGCAGAAUUUCUUCUAGGAUGCGUAGCUAAAUCCUCAAUUUUUAGUCGAAGGUCAAUUUGAAAAUUCGGUUCCAAAUAUCUGUGAAAUCGAAUUAUUUUACUUAUUUCUUUUAUUUAUUGGUAUUCGCACGUUUUCUGAUUUAACUUUUUAUGAUUGUUUUGUUAUUUGAAUGUCAAGGGUCCGAUAUUCGAAUUAACUUAAUAAUCUACUGCCAAAUUAACCGGUUAAAUCCGUAAUUGUUUGAUUGAUUAAUAUCAGUGGCGACUAGCGUGAUUGGUCCCAUGUUAGGAAAACGUCUGAUCUAAUUUAAACAAACCGUCGUAGCGUGUUUGUUGAUUAGGGUUGGGCUUUUCUAAUUCUUAAUUCAAUUGAGAAAUUAAAUCCCCCGGUCGUACCUAGGAUUAUUUUUUUGUUAGCGAAAUAGUUAAUGGUCGUACCUUGACUAUCGAAAAAGUAAGGAAGAGUUGAUUGUUUAUCGCGUGUACGACAACUAUAAUCAAUCUAUUAAUGAGUAAUUGAAUUAUCUUUGCAUCAGUAAUCAGUUGAAUGGACCGUGUCUGAAAAGUUGUACCUUUGGCUAGAGUCUUAUCUGUUGUUGAUUCAUUCAUAUCUAUCUUCAUGCGUUGUUUUAAUUUAGUUAAUUAGUUAUUUUUAUAAAAACCCCUCAUCUCUGGACUCUAAAAGAAAUAAAUUAUUUCUAGUUCCUGUGGAUUCGAUCCUACUCACCAUACAAUCCAACCUGCAAUUGUAUGAACCCCAAUCUCGCUUCCUAGUCCACCAUUUUUCUCUAGGUAAUAAUCUCCCUUCUAAUUUCUUCACAAAAUGCACCUUUCAUCACCUCCAAUAGCGUCGACAUGAUCUUUACCCCAGAAGACUAUUCACCGACUCUCAAUUGACGUUAGAAAAUCUAAGAGUAAUUCUACUUUACCCUAAGAUUGAUAUCAACAAGACAAGGACAAUUUAGAAUUAUUACACGCCUCUUCUUAAUAGGAAAAAGAAAUAGAGAAGAAAGUCAGGCCAGGUCUAAUUUCUUUUCAAAGGCAAUACAACAUUACGAAAUCAAGCAUUCAUUCAUACAAAUAUUUCAUAGUCACCGGUUUGCUGAGUAGAAAAAUUUAGACAAAAACUUAAUAUUAUAUUGUUUAAGAGUUAACAAUUUAGAGCUUAAUCUCCUUGUACUUUGGAGUUAACAAUUUAGAGCUUAAUCUCCUUGUACUUUGGACUAAACUUGAACGUGAAAGGAAAUCCCAAAACCAUAUUGGGCAUGAAUUCACACUUAAUAUACCCAAUAAAAGAUGGCGACUGGUGAAAGGCAGUGGAGACUGGUGGAGAGAUUUGAGGAAUAGAAGCAGACGGAAAAGCAACAAAUUUUUGCCGAAAAACGGUCACUUUCAUGGUUAAUUUUGCUACUCUCCAAUUGUACUUGACCAAUUACAACAAUUUCAUGGAGUUUGAUACGUGAAAAGAAUUUUUUAUAAAUUUUAUUUUGAUCCAUAAUGUUAUCUUUACAUAUAUAAAACAUUUUACAAUUUUGAUUUUGGCGCAGUUAACUUUUGGUAAACAAAAAUGCUCAUGUUUAAAAAACCGGAAAUAAAACAAAACAAGAAACAAAAGAAAUAAGAGGGUAGCAUAGACAUUUUGGAUUUUUCCGUUAAUUUGGAUGAUUUCCACCCACGUUCUAAUUUAAUCCAAAACACAAAGGAAUUACGUAGAGGUUUUAAAUAAUGAGGGAGCUUCAUGAUCGAACCCCAAACCACAAGGCGAUUUACUAUAUUUUACUCUUAAAUUUUGGUUUCAUCUCAUAGCAUACAAGAGUUCUAUUUCACUAUCUGUAGACAAAGACUUUCUAUGGUUGAUGUACCAUAGGAAAAAAUCUGCCUAUACAACGUGAUAGCAUUUUUUCAAAAACACAAGAUGGAAAAUUGCCCCCUUAAACGGGGAAAUUCAUGAUCUUUCCUCGAACAAAGAAUACUCACGCCUAUUCAAGAUGGAAAAUUGCCCCCUUAAACGUCUAUUUGUCAAUUCUUGAAAAAAGAAUACUCACGCCUAAAACACGGCCUCUUCAUCUGCAGAAUUCUAAAAAGUUAGGUAAACUCUAUAAACAAGUUGAUAGGUACAAUCGUACCCAAGAUCAAGUACAGAUAGUUGUACAUUCACUGCUGCAAUAACUAAUCUGAUGACUUACAAACAUAUCAUGGUCAAUCGUUGAAUGGUAAUGAGUCUUUUGUUAUGCAUUAGUAUUAGUGUGUACACUCUAAUAGAUUGAUACUUAUACUCUUUAAAUUAUCAUAAUAAUACCCUUAAUUAACUUUAACUCUUAAAAAGAAUACGUGUUAAUACACGAGAGUGUGUAACCUGAAUUGUUACUUAUACAUUAGUGUGUAAUAGAUAGGGAUGGCAAUGGGGGCGGGUGCCCGCAGGCAACCGCCCCGCGGGGGGCUCUCGGGGCGGGGAGGGGGGAAUUUUUUCCCCCCGUUUAGAAACGGGGCAGGGGACGGGGGAGUAUACCCCCGCCCCAUCCCCCGCAAAAAAAAUUAUAUAUAUAUAAUUAUAUAUAAUAUGUAAUUUAAUUAGUUAUAAACUUAUGAUAAUGAUAUUAUUAGUUAGAUGUAUUAUAUAAUGUAUAUUAGUGUAUGUAAUAUAAUUAAUAUUAUCAAUUAUACGAAUAAUUAGACAUGUCUACUAAUAGAAUUUAUUAAUUAGUUAUACUAAAUUUACUAAUACAUUUAUACUAAAUUUCUAAUUACAUUUAAUAGAAUAACACUUUUUUCUAAAAAAAAAAGCACAAACACAAUAAUGAAUUAGUGAUUGUAUUUUUACCAAAAAUGAAAACUUAACUAUUUUAGUUGCAUUUAUUUCAUCAUGUUGGAUUGUAUUCAAAUAAUUUUUGUUUGAUUGUUUUUAUGAGUUUCAAUUGUAAAAUUAAAAUGAAUAAUAACUUGAUGAAUAAUAAUGUCAAUCGUUGAAUGGUGUGUACACUCUAAUAUUAUGCAUUAGUAUUAGUGUGUACACUCUAAUAGAUUGAUACUUAUACUCUUUAAAUUAUCAUAAUAAUACCCUUAAUUAACUUUAACUCUUAAAAAGAAUACGUGUUAAUAACUCUUAACCUGAAUUGUUACUUAUACAUUAGUGUGAAAUAGAACGGCAAGCAUUGAGCAACUUAUAGGAGAAAUAGUCCUAUAAGCUGUUGGAUGACUAAUAUAGCUCUAGCUGUAAUGUUUUAAUUAAAUUACAUCACUAACGUUGGGAUGACUAAUGGUUUAAAAAUAAUUGAGUAAUUGGAAAAAAAAAAAGAGACUAAUUUUCAUUGAAACCCACCGACAAACUAAACGUGUCCAUGGCUUUUGAAUAGUGCAUUCAACGUUUAAUUGUAUAGUCCAGUUCAUUGCAGAUUACAUGGAGUAAAGAUUGUGCUCUUUCCUUUUUCACCCCUUUUGGAAUCGAUACUGUGGAGAAUUGGGUUUUUCCCUUCUUUUUUUCUUUUCUUUCUUUCUGUGCUUUGCAAAACAUAGGUAAAAUUAUGAAAUCCGAAGCAUUCUUUAAUUGGGAUUAAGUAUUGUUCUUGAAAUUAAAAAGAAGAAAGAAAGAACAACAAAAUUCCCUGAUUGGUUGCAUCGUGCUUCCAUAGAAGCUCUCUUAGUGUGAUACACUGCUUUCAAUCAGUUUAACAUGGAAAAAAGAAAGAGAUGAAAAGCAAAUUUGGUGGGGAUAAUUUCAGAAACCUCCCCUGAAGAUUUUGACUAUUCUACUGGUCUCCCUUCAGAUUUUAAAAAUUACACUAAUCUUCCUUGAAGUUAUAACAUUUAAAUUCAAUCAAUAAUUUAAAAAAUGAUAUUAUGAAAGAGAAAAUAAUAUGAUUUUAUCAUUGCCCCCCAUCUUACUACAUUAUUUAAUUAAUUUAAUAGCAACCCACACAUUAAAGAAAAAUAUAAAAUUUGUUAUUUAUCAUUAAAGAUCAAAUCGCUUAUAACAUCAAAUAAUAGUAUAUUAUUUAUAUUUUUCACUUAACAUAAUAUCCAAAUUACUCUUUUCAAUUACAUACUCAUUGUUAGACAAUCAACAACAAAUAACCAAAAAAUUUGCAACCAAAAUAUUACAAAAAAAAAUAAACUUUAACAUCAUAAAUAUUCUUAUCAACAUAUUAAAGUUAGUUACUGAAAUUUUUAUGGUGUUAAACUUCACUCUUUGUAAUAUUUUGGUUACAGAUUUUUUUUGAUUAUUUUUUAUUAAUUAUGUUUGAUGAUGGGUUUGUAAUUGAAAAGAAUAAUUUAAAACUUACAUUAAGUGAAAUAUAUAGAGUGAUAUACUAUUUUUUAUAACAUAUGUGAUUCAAUCCUUCUUGAUAGGAUUGGUAAUAGAGGUAGAGGGGGGAGUCGGCUGCAUCCGGUCUUCUUUUCAUAGAUAGUACAAUAUUGCGAAAUCAAUCGCAUUCACACAAUAAUAUUUCGAAGUCAAUGCAUGGCUAAGUUGCAUAAAAGUACGAACACUUGUUAUUAUAUAGCUUAAGAUUCAAAACUUUAGAGCAUAACCCUCCACCUAACACAAUUGAAUAAUGAAUAUUCACGUUUGUCAAAUCUGUCAAAGCACAGUUUGAGGACAACCCAUUCCAACCUGCAAAAGAUUUUUUACUUUUCUAAAGUUGUUGAGAGCUGUAAAAAGACCUACCAUGCUUACAUCCUCCGAGCCUUGGGAGUUAAAAAUGAAGGCACUGAGUGCUAUAAAAAGGGGGCUAGAGGCUGCCUAGAAGCAUAUCAGCCUAAAACAAGAAUUUGUUGUUAUGAUGGGAAGCAAAGCAAAAGCAAUGGGGUCUGGGCUGACUCCUCUUCUUGCCACUGUUUUAGUGGUAUUUGUUGCUCUUGGCUUGCCCUCAGAAACAGCAGCUGAUGAUCACUACAAGUAUUCAUCUCCUCCUCCUCCUUACCACUAUCCCUCACCACCGCCUCCAGUGCAUUUACCUCCACCAGUGUACAAAUACAAGUCCCCACCACCACCUCAUCAUGUUUACAAGUACAAAUCUCCACCACCCCCACCACCACACCCAGUUUACAAGUAUAAGUCACCACCACCACCUCCUCAUCCGGUACCACACCCAGUUUACAAGUAUAAGUCACCACCACCACCUCCUCAUCCGGUAUACAAGUAUAAGUCUCCUCCGCCACCACCACACCCAGUUUACAAGUAUAAGUCACCACCACCACCUCCUCAUCCGGUACCACACCCAGUUUACAAGUAUAAGUCUCCUCCGCCACCAGUUUACAAAUAUAAGUCUCCUCCACCACCACCUCCAGUGUACAAGUACAAGUCUCCACCACCACCAGUUUACAAGUACAAAUCACCACCACCUCCUCCCCCAGUUUACAAAUACAAGUCUCCACCACCACCAGUUUACCACUACAAGUCACCACCACCUCCUCACCCAGUUUACAAGUACAAAUCUCCUCCACCACCAAUUUACCACUACAAGUCACCACCACCUCCUCCCCCAGUUUACAAAUACAAGUCUCCACCUCCUCCUCACCACUACUAAGCAAUUGCUUCUGAGGUAAUAACACUUGUUCAAUAACACUUGAUAGCCAGCUGAAUAUUUGCAGGCAAAGGAGAAGGAAACCAGUGUUUGAGACCUUCUUGAAGAUGUAGAAGCAUAAGAAUUAAAGCCCAAUGUGAAGAUGAUGAUUUCAAGUUUUUCUACGUUACCAUUUCAAUAUCUAAAUUGGUUGUAGCGCCUUAGUUCCUUUGUUUAUGGGAUUUGUAUCGUUUUACGUACCAUGCAGUACAUGUCAUGUUUGUAAGGUUUUCUAUCCUGCCGGCAAACCGCAGGUUCCAUGUAAUAAAUCAAUACUAUUUAUAUUACGACACUUUUCUCUGUUUCUCUUAUAUUUUGUCUUUAAUAUUCUUAAUCAUAUUUUUAACAAAAAUAUUCAAACACUUCAGCAAUGGUUCACCUAGUUGAUCAUCGAAGCAGAGGCAAUUCCAAUUAUUUAUCAAUAAAUAGGAUAUAACUACCAAACAAGCGAUGGCAGUUAACCCCUCCUUACUGUGUCGGUGAUCAAGGUACGCCCGUUAAUCACUGCUCUAAUUGAGAAAUAAUCCUAAGUACGCCCGUAGAAUUUAAUUCCCCAAUUGCCUUACAUAUUAGAGGAGCCCUAUUCUAACCAAAUAACGCACUAUCAGGGUUAUUUUAGAUUAGCCCGCGUAUUCCCCUGACAUAAAUCUAAUCAUGCCAGUUGUCAUUAUUUUGAGGUAAUUAAACAAUUACGGAUUUAACACCUCAAUUGACAAUAGAUUAUUAAAUUAAUUAAUUAUUCGGAUCCAAGACAAUCAAUUAAUUAAACAACCAUAAGCACUACAAUCAGAGAAUAUGCAAAUACCAAUAAAUAAAUAAAAAAUAAAAUUAAAUCGAUCUCACAAUUUUUAGGCGAAUCAGAGCAUCCGUUGUCCCUUGACUAGAGCAAGGAAAUUAGUUCAUAUUUGAUGAACUAAACCCAUACAAAAGGGAAGCGAGAAAUGCAGCCAUUAUCCUUUGAAAUCUGGAAAAUUCAACUUGUCCGAAUAUCGAAUAGAUAGUAAUACUACAAAAGGUAAUUCAUAGCUUCCCUUUCGUCUGACACACAAGAAGAAAAAAAAGGGCUGCUAAUAACUAAAGGAGGAAAAGUCAAAGUCCUAAGCUAUGCUACAAGACGAAAAACUAAAGAAGACAAAAAGGCAGUGCUCAUUCCCUGCAAUCUCAAUUCCUAUUCUAUCUAAGUGCUCUCCAAUGUGCGGCGGCUCCCCUUCCGGAGAGGACGAAGUGGCACCCUUUUUUCCUGCGCAAUUUUCCUAUAUAAAGUAGUGCUCCUUGCAGCGGCUCCUGUGCGAAAAAAUGAAGACUUCGGCCCAAUUUGCCUAACAAGGGCUCACGUUUUGUUGUUCUAAAAAUGUCCCUAGGACAAACUCUAUCAUCUGAACUCUUUUCUUGCCAAAUUAGUACCUGUUAUUAUAUUUUCGUUCUACUCCCUGAAAUAAAUGCAAAAUAUCAAAAGUGAGUAGAAUCUAGCAAUUAAUCCACAUUAGGUCAGGUAAUAGGGAAAAUUAAUAAUAAAAUAAAUGAUAAAAUUGCAAUCUAUCACGGGACCACUGUGGUAAGGUGUGUUUCGCCUAUUAUAAGGAGUUCGGAGAGUUAGACGUGUUGGAGGCGGAGGCGCGGUCACUCCUGCACGCCCUCCAGCUGUGUGCAGAUCGCGAGGUACGGGCGUUGACUGUAGAAUCUGAUUCAAAGGUGCUUGUUCAACUAGUUUGCUCGGAUAUGAGGUCGAAGUGGCCGGUGUGUAUCGUAUUGCGGGAAAUAAGACAUUUGAUCCGGCGGAUGGGUGCAUCCCUUCAUCAUAUAUUCCGUGAGGCCAAUUCGGUGGCGGACGCAUUGGCUUCUCUGCAAUUGGGAGGGCAGCAGUACUACACCUCAGGCGUGGCGCUGCCUUUCAGGCCCAGAGGAGAGGCUCUGCUGGAUCGUCAAGGAGUACCUCGCAUCCGUGAGGCGCUCACUAAGGUUUGAUAGGCUAUGUCCUCCUUUCAAAAAACUUAUUUCAUCUACUCCUUGUAAUCAUUUUUCUUAUCAAUAAAUUGAGGCUUUUUAUUUAAAAAAAAACAUAUAAUUUAAGGCAAAAAUAUGAUCCUAGCGAGUAUCGCACUGAGACAUUAGGAAACAUCAUUAAAAGAGUAUUUCUUGAGUUAGUGCAACUAUUUCUUAGGGGAAUUUAUAGUUACAAAAUUCAAAAAUUUGAGAUUCUAUUACUGAUUAAUUAAGGGCGUUAUCACUAUUUUUCUUAUUAUCACCAUUAUUUACCCCACAUACUAUAAGUUUUUUUAGGGCACAGGAAAAGAGGUGGGCCGAUGUUUAGUUAUGUACAAAAGUUCAAAAUUUGUAGAUAACUUAUCAUGUGCCCUUAGAGCGUAGAAUACAGAAAAAAUAUCUUAAACUAUAACUAAUCCUAAUAUUUUUCUCUAUGAUAAACUAGCUCUUAUCCAUUUCUUUAGAUGAUGAAAGGAAAUAGUUAGUCACCUGUCCUCUAGUGAUUACAACAGCAUCAAAACAAAUUAGCACUCUUUUCCCGUAGUUUAAAAAUCCCUCAGCCACUAAGAUUUUGCAUGUCGAACGAAUUAAGGAACAUAGAAGGUUCGUGCUGCACCACAGUGUCCUUGUUGACGAUGCAAAGACAGAAAUGCAUCCGCGUAUACUUCCUUAAGCAUUUUGAUUACUUUAUGAUUCGAACUUUUCUUGUCUGACAGCUGGACUUAAUUGAAAAACACAAGUAACAAUAUUUCAAAGUUGAUUCGUCAAAGUUUACCCAAUUGGUGAAACUUUCUUCAUAGAGCUGACUUUGUAUUAGGUGACAAUGAUAUGGAAUUGAUGUCCUUCCCUUUUUCCUUUUUUUGUGUUGAAGACGCACAACGUUUUCAAUGGCAAAUUUAUAUGGGCUUUUCACGACAAAAUGUGUUCUGAAAAGUUCAUUCCAGAGGUUAAAAUUUUGUGUGUUAAAAAUUUGCUUCUCAGGACUUUGAUGGGAAAGUCUUGGUGUUUCCAAAAAGUUUAAGCAGGAUGCUUCUGGCUUUCUCUCCAUGUAUUUGUGAGUUAGAUCUAAAAUUAUCAGGGCUCCAGAGAUCUCUUGAAAUCGCAGCAUAUAUUGAAGUCUUUCCAGAAGGAGUCUUUUUUUUUUUUUUUAUGAAUUAUGAUAGAUAAUUAAUCUGACGGUGCAUAUAUAUAUAUAUGUGAUUUGCAGUAGGGUGUUUGACGAAAUGGUUAGGCUUCCUAAGUAAUGAUAGGAAUGCCAUUUGCAAAGAAGGACAGGGGGCUGGUGCUGUCAUAUUUUAUGCGAUUUGAUCCGUUGUUGUAUAAGUUUAAACUUUUGACGUGCAAUUGUGCUAUAAUAUUAUACUAAAUAUAUGUGUGAAAUAUUUUGUCUAUAUACAUCACUUUUAUCAUGAAUACAACAGCUGAGUAUAAUAAUAUAGUAUAAUGUAAUUGUACACCAAAUAAUGUAGCAAAUAUAACAAUUGAUCCGAAUUACACGGAACCAUAACAACAAGAUCACCGCCUCCCAAAUUUUACAAAAUUAGGUUUUUUUUUUUUCUCUUAGAUUAUUGAAAAUUUUCAAAAAUAAUCUACAUAAUUUAAGCUUUUGUCCUACAAAAAUUUGAAGAGAUUUUACAUUACAAGCUUAAGCUUAGAUAUAUUAAACUUUGCCCCCAAGAUUAAUUUUCCGUUUUUAUCUAUGAACCGAUCCAUAUAGCUAGUUAGACUGUAGUCCUCACAUUUGUGGGAUUUAACACCCAAGAUUCUCCUUCUUGGAAUGUAAAAUGUAGAUCUUCUAUGUUAAUAAUUCAAGACCCUACUGUCAUAAACGAAAUGACUGAUCAACUCCUGUAAACCUAAUUUGACAACAUUUAAAUGGAGAACUUUAGCUAAAAGAAUUAUGGUCAAGCUAAAGAAAAAGCCAGUUAUUUUCCAACAUAUGCAAUCAUUGAUCAGGAAAAAAAAAAAAAAGCAAAAAGACAUCUUCAAUCAUUUAAUAGCUCACAGUGCAAAUUAACCCCUAAGCGAAAACUGGUUGCUCUAGAAUCAAAAUUUUACCUUAGUUACCCAGGCAACUUUUUUGUUGCUUUUUUUUUUUUCUUUUCCUUUUUGGGUAUAUAUAUAGCUCCAGUUUUGCCCCCUCUGUCAAGCUUAUAUAAUUAUUAAGAUAAUAAAAGUGCCUUGAAUAGUAUUAAUAUAUCCAUUGACUUGAGCUGUCAUCGAUCGGUUUGGGCUACUUCGAUUCCAUGAGAACAAAUGGUAAUAAAAGUACUCAGAAAAUAGGGAGCCAUGAAACCCUUUUGUUCUAUUCAUUGCUAAGAUGCUUUUCUCUAUAAAGAGACUUCCUAACGAAAGUACUUUGUAGAUUUCUUUACUCCAAGUGGUGCAUGGAAAAUUAAAAUAUUCAAUUAUCAAAUAAAAUUCCCUUUUUUCGGUGUAGAUUUCAUCCAUCCAGCUGUUAACACAUUUUAUGUAUCCGAAUUAUAUAUUCUCUACCAAAUAUUGUAACUUUUCUGAGCAUCUUUACAUUUUUAUUCCCACCUAACAAAUUAGUUGUUGAGCAUCUUUACAUGCUAUCGGAUCACAAGUUAAUAAUCUUUUAAAGAACAUGUUAAAUUAAUUUAUUGGUAUGAAUAGUCAAAGAAGUAUAUUAAAGUUAGUAAUCUUUAAACACCACGAUGCAAUUAAUACUUUCAAGCUCAAGGUCUUUUUUUUUUUUUUUUUUGGUACUGUACUUCCUUGCUUUAUAGUAUGCACGUUUAUUUCUGUGGAUUGCUUAAGCUUAUAUUGUUAAUAAUUGGGCAUUUAACCAUAAAUUAUAAUGAUUAUGAAGUCAUAUAUAUAUAUAUAUAUAUAAGAAAAUUACCACAAUUAUUCAAUUUUUUUUGCAAAUUCAAAUUUUAUUAAUAAGAAAUAGGCAGUAAGCUUUUACAAACGGAAAAAAAAAAUCCUACAACAACUCUAGGACCUUUGAAAGAAAGAAAAAAAAAAGAAAAGAAAAGCUUAAGGACUCUACCUCAUAGAAGCUAAACAAUCCUACAAAUAAACUGCAAAAUAAAUCACAAUAACGCAAAAUUUUUGUCUUUCUUCCGUAUGAAAUGAAACUACGAAGUCAAGAAUUGACUCCUUUAACCGCUAUUGCCAGCGGGCUCCGUCAGCAAGAUACAACUUUGCAAUUUGAUUCAAUAGAAAUCCUCAAAUAGCUAUUUUGACAGGCAAAUUAAGCAUUAAUUUUGGUAUCCCUUCAUAAAAUACAAGAGUACUUUUGAUUAUAUCUAUAGAUCAACUUUCUAGGCUAUUUUGAUGUAUUAUAAGAAAAUCUGCCUCAACAAUUUUGAUAGCAUUUUUCCAAAAGCAGAAGAUGGAAAAUUGCCCAUUUGUACUGGGGAGUUCGUGAUCUUUUCCUCCUUCUAGUCUACUUACAAUUCUUGGAAAAAGGAAUACUCACAUCUCAAACAACUGCCUGUUCAUCUGCAAUGUCCUGCCGAAUUCUAGAAAGUUAGGUGGCAAUGCUAAUUACAUUUCAAAAUUGACUGCUGCGAUGACUAAUUCGAUGGCUUACUACAUGGUCAACGUUUGGAUCCCUUCCUGUCCUUUUUGGAUGCACAUUUUUUUUCUCUAGGCAAUAUAUAAUCUCCCAACUCAUUUCUUUACAAAUGCACCUUUAAUCACCACCAAAAGGUGUGGACAUGAUCUUUACCCUAGAAAACUAAUCACCGACAGGCAAAUUGACGUCAGAAAUACUAAGAGGAAUUCUAGUUUCCUUCGGGUUAAUGCCAUUUUGUACCCUUCAACUGUAACUCGAUUUCUAAACUAUAAUUUGUGACAUUAUAGUCCUUAAACUAUGAAACCCCUCUUACUUAAGUACAAUGGUUAAUACAAUACCCGUGACUAGACAAGCAACCAUAACAAAAAAAAAUCCAAAAUUAGAGAAAAGAAAGAAGUUUCGCGACCAAAGUAUGUAUCAAGGCAUAGUAUAGAAAUAAAAGUGUCCAAAUUAAGAGUUUAGGGAUAAAAGAGAUCAAGAUAUAGUUUAGGGAUUGAUUUGUCUCAAUUAGAGUUUUGAUGUCAACUAAGAAGAGAGAUAUAGUUGAAGGGUAGAAUAUAGAUAUAACAGUUCAAUGAUUGAUAUCAACGAGACAAUGACAACUUUGGAUUAUUACCAACCUCUUCUUGAUGGGAAAAGGAAAUAGAGAAGAAAGUCGGGCCUGGUCUAAGCCUGCUUCGGAGGCAAAACAACAUUAUGAAAUCACCGGCAUUCACACAAAUAUGUCAAAGUCACCGGCAUGCUAAGUUGCAUAAUUUAUACAAACACUGAAUAAUAUAUUGUUCUUAAAAUUUUUGUUUAAGAUUUAACAAUUAGAGCACGGUACACGAAUUAGCAAUAUUAAAUAAUGAAUGUUCACGAUUGAUAAAGUUAUCAAAGUACAGUUUGAGGACAACCCAUUCCAACGUGUACAAGAUGUUUAGCCUUUGAAAAGUUAAUUAGAGAAGGUGACGAGAUUUUACUAGGCUUAAAUCUUCUAGGCCUCGGAAGUAAAAAAUGAAGGCCUUUGAGUGCUAUAAAAAGGGGGCUAGAUGUUGCCUAGAAGCAUAUCAGCCUCAGACCACAUUUUGUAGCAAUGGGGAGCAAAGCAAAAGCAAUGGGGUCUAGGCUGACUCCUCUUCUUACCACCGUUUUAGUGGUAUUUGUUGCUCUUGGCUUGCCUUCAGAAACUGUGGCUGAUUACUACAAGUAUUCAUCUCCUCCUCCUCCUUACCAUUAUUCCUCACCACCACCUCCUGUGCAUUCACCUCCACCACCGCCAAUUUAUAAGUCACCCCCACCACCUUACCACUACUCCUCACCGCCACCUCCAGUGUAUUCAUCUCCACCACCACCUUCGCCAGUUUACAAGUCUCCGCCACCACCUUACCAUUAUUCGUCACCACCGCCUCCGGUGCAUUCACCUCCACCACCACCUGUUUACAAGUCACCUCCACCACCUUCGCCAGUUUACAAGUCUCCGCCACCACCUUACUAUUAUUCGUCACCACCGCCUCCGGUGCAUUCACCUCCACCACCACCGAUUUACGAGUCACCUCCACCACCUCCUCCAGUUUACAAGUCUCCGCCACCACCUUACCAUUAUUCCUCACCACCACCUCCAACGCAUUCACUCCCACCACCAGUUUACAAAUCACCGCCACCACCUCCUCCUAUGUAUAAGUCCCCUCCACCACCUUAUCAUUAUUCCUCACCACCACCUCCAGUGCAUUCACCCCCACUGCCACCAAUUUACAAGUCUCCGCCACCUCCAAUCUACAAGUAUAAGUCACCACCACCUCCUCCCCCAAUUUACAAGUCACCACCACCACCUCCUCCAGUAUAUAAGUCCCUACCCCCACCAGUGUAUAAGUACAAGUCUCCACCACCACCUCCUCCAGUAUACAAAUCACCUCCACCACCUCCUCCAGUUUACAAAUCUCUACCACCACCAAUUUAUAAAUACAAGUCUCCUCCACCACCUCCUCCGGUUUACAAUUCCCCACCACCACCAAUCUACAAGUCUCCACCUCCACCCUCCCAUUACUACUACAAUUCUCCUCCUCCUCCUCCUCAUCACUACUAAGCAAUUGUAUCCAAGUUUUUGAGGUAAUAAUGCUAAACCAAUAUAUUAACUUUCGCAUGAUAAACUUUAUCUCUAUCAAGACAAACUGCCAUGUGCAUCAAGCCAAAUACGUACACUUCGAUCCAUGAAAAUGACAAGUAGAAGGUUUUCUUAAGAACCAAGGAACAGCAUUAGUAUUCCCUCUGUUUCCAAAACUUGUGUAUUAAAUAGAUUAAUGAAUUGUUUAACAUGCUUAUCUACUUGAAAAUGCACAAUACCCAUAACCCACUGAAAUUUUUGCAGGUAAAGGGGAAGAGAAUCUGUGUUUGAGAGCUUCAUGAAGAUGUUGAAGAAUAAGAAUAAAAGCCCAAUGCGAGGAUGUUUUCAAGUUUUUCUAUGUUUCCACUUUAAUUUGUAAAUUGAAUUUUUCGACUUAAUUAAUUCCCUGUUUGUGGGGUACGUAUUGUUUUACGUACCAUGCCGUACAUGUUUGUAAGGAUUUCUAUCCUAUUGGCAAAAGUCGGUUCCAUACAAUUAAUCAAUUCAUUUCACUUCUAUUGGCUCUACUAUUUAUGCACGUUACGACAUUUUUUCUCUCUUUCCCUUAUAUUUUGUCUUUAAUAUUAUUGAGUCAAUAGUAAUACUGGGCCAUUUUUUUUAAAACUUAUACUAGUAUACAUAGGUAGUUUGGUCUAACGCCAAAUUCAUGUUUGUCUUUCUUUUAUUCCCUUUACAUUUCAAAGUAUACUAUAGUUUGUGAUCAUUGUGGUGAUGAUAUUACCAGCUGGUACUUAUAGUUUAAGGCAGAGACAUGAUAUUAACAACUAUCUCAUUGAAACAUAAGGAAAAAUCAUGACAAGUGUGAGUCUUGGUUAAUGCACAAUUUGUUAGUGGAAUUUAUAUUUAUAAAACUCAAAAAAAAAAUUUUGACAAUGCUAUUACUAAUUAAUUAAGGACUUUAUUGCUAUAAUUUAUCGCUUGCUAGUUUAAACUAUAAAUGAUCUCAAUACUUUUCUCCAUGAUGUCGAUUUCUUUAGAUACGAAAGGGAAAAAUUAGUGACAUAUCCCUUACUGAUUACAACAUCAGCAAAAAUUAGUUAUAAACUUUUCCGGUGGUUUUAAAUCCCCGGGCCCUAAGAUUUUUUGCUCAUCGAGUGAAUUAAGGAACAUAGGCAAUUCAUUUUGCAUACCAAGUCCUUGUUUAAGAUGCAAGUACUAAAAUGCAUCCACUUCAUUAAUUUGGGAAAUUGCCAUAGUUUUUUUAAGCAUUUUGAUUUUUUACAUGAUUUAAAAUUUUCUUAUUGGAUACAAUCACUUUGUAUCAAGAACACAUUUUCAAUCACCUUUUUUUAUCUUCUCAAUGAGAAAAUAAAAAUUUAUUCAUGCUUUUCUAACAUAUUCAAUCAUUGAUCUGAAAAUUAAAACAUUAAGAAAAGGACAUUUUCAAACAUUAAGAAGUAGUAUUUUAAAGACCAUGAUGAAAUUAAUACUUUCAAGGUCUCUAUUAGGAAGACUUCCUUUAUUAAUACUCUACUAGGCAGAGUUAUAUGCACGUUUACUGUUUUGGCCUUAAGUUGGGUGCAGAUGCUUAUAUUACAAAUAGAUGGUAUCAAAAAAUUGUUGUAUUCACGUCUGUUCUUUUUUUCUUCCUUAAGUUUUUUUCUUUAUUCUCGUGACUUCGCUAGUGAGGUAUAACUUCACAACUAGAGUCAAUAGAAAUCGUCAAAUGAUUUUUUGACAUCCAAAUUAAGCAAUAAAUUUUGUUUUCAUUUCAUAACAUAUAAUAGUACUACUUCAUGGGAGAUUUUAUAGUUUCUUUAGGGUAUCAUACCUACAAUUGAUAUUUAUCAUUGGAUAGUGAAAGAAGUGUUAAUGUCUCUAAGAUUAAAUAUUGUUAAAUAUUGAAAAUUUGAACUAUUUAUCUCUAUUGAGAGAUACAACUUAAAGAAUCCUACCCAAAAGAGACUAGAAUUUUCUCUGUUUUUCAUCAUCUGUAGACAUAAACUUUCCACGGUUGAUAGCAUUUUUCAUCAUCUAUAAGGAAAUUUUGCCUAUACAAUGUGAUAGCAUUUUUCAAAAAGACAAGAUGGAAAAUUGCCCCCCUUGAACGGAAAAUUGCCCCCUUGUCAAUUCUUUAAAAAAGAAUACCGUCCCGCAGAAUUCUAGAAAGUUAGGCAAAACUAGACAAGUUGACAGGUAUAAUCAGACCCAAGAUCAGGAACAAGCAGUUGCACAUUUCAAAAUUCGCUGCUGCAACAACUAAUUUGAUGACUUACAACACUAAAUGGUCAAACUUUGAAUGGCAAUGAAUCUUUUGUUGUACAUCAUGAUGUAAUUUUCAUGUUACAUAAUAGAUUGAUAUCUAUGUUCUUUAAAUUAUCAUAAUAAUUAAAUUUAACUGAAAAAAAGAACACAUAUCAAUACACAAAAGUGUGCAACGUGAAUGUUAUUUUAGUGUAUUGCAGAAGACCUAUAGUCUCUUCAUAUCUCUUCCUGCACGUAUCAAUUCGUUUCCUCUAGAUAAUAAUCUCCCAACUCAUUUAUUUACAAAUGCACCUUUUAUGUUUUAUUACCUCCAAAAGCCUAAAAAUCAAUUCACCGACUCGCAUUUGGUAUCAGAAAUUCUUAUUACGAAUUCUACUUUACUCAAAGAUUGACUGUUAAUAAUGAGACAACGACCAUUUUGUAUUAUUACACCGUCCUUCUUGAUAGGCAAAAGAAAUAGAGAGGAAAGCGGGUCCGUAUAUGGUCUUUUAUUCAUAGAUAAUACAACAUUACGCCAUCGAGCAUUCACACAAUAUUUCAAAGUCAUUGCAUGCCUAAGGCCUGCUUGAUAAUCUAAUUCCGUACUUAAAUUUAAUAAAUUCAAAUCUUAACACAUUCAAAUCGUUUGAUAACAAAAAAUUGAACAUCUAAAUUAAUUAAGUAACACUGAAUUUUCUAGGCAAAACUUGCUCCCAAAAUUAAGUGAUAAGUUAUUCACUUAUCACUGAAUAUGAUAUGUAUUCAAAUGUAUUAGAUUUAAUACUUAAUAAUUUAAUGAAUUCAAAUUUCAUAUUUCAUAUUUCAGUUUUAUCAAACACACCUUAAGUUGCAAAAUAAUACCAAAACUUGUUAUUACAUAGCUUGAGAUUCAAAAAUUUAGAGCAUAAUUCUCAACCAAACACAAUUGAAUAAUGAAUAUUCACGAGUGUCAAAUCUAUCAAAGUACAAUUUGAGGACAACCCAUUCAAACGCGUACACGAUUUUUAACUUUUCUAAAGUUGUUGAGAGCUGUUGAAAGAGAUUUACCAUGUUUACAUCUUCCAAGUCUUGGGAGUAAAAAAUGAAGCCACUGAGUGCUAUAAAAAGGGGGGUAGAGGCCACUUGAGAUCCUCGGUGACAUGUUUUCUAUGCCAAUCCAAUGCCACCAAUAGUGUUGCGCCAAGUGUCAUGUUAUUAUUUACACUUGUGUUAAACUAAGCCAAGUUGAAUUAUUAGAAAAUUAAAGUGUAAAUAAUAACAUGACACUUGGCGCAAUACUAUUGGUGACAUUGGGUUGGCAUAGAAAAUAUGUCACCGAGGAUCCCAAGUGGAUAGAUGCUGCCUAGAAGCAUAUCAGCCUAAAACAAGAAUUUGUAGUAACAAUGGGGAGCAAAGCAAAAGCAACGGGGUCUAGGCUGACUCCUCUUCUUACCACUGUUUUAGUGGUAUUUGUUGCCCUUGGCUUGCCCUUGGAAACUGCAGCUGAUUAUUACAAGUAUUCAUCUCCUCCUCCUCCUCCUUACCAGUAUUCCUCACCACCACCUCCAGUGUAUUCACCUCCACCAACCCCUGUUUAUAAGUUACCCCCACCAUCUCCUCUAGUUUACAAGUCCUCACCACCACCUUACCACUACUCACCACCUCCUGUGUAUUCACCUCCACCAUCACCAAUUUACAAGUCACUGCCACCACCCCCUCCAGUAUACAACUCCCCGCCUCCACCAGUGUACAAAUACAAGUCCCCACCACCACCUUCUCCAAUUUACAAAUCUCCACCGCCACCAGUUUACAAGUACAAGUCACCCCCACCACCUCCUCCGGUAUACAAGUCUCCUCCGCCACCUGUUUACGAGUACAAGUCUCCUCCACCACCUCCUCCAGUGUACAAGUCCCCACCACCUCCAGUUUACAAGUACAAGUCACCACCACCUCCUCCCCCGGUUUACCAAUCUCCUCCACCACCAGUUUACAAAUACAAGUCACCACCACCUCCUCCCCCAGUUUACCAGUCUCCACCUCCACCCUAUCAUCACUACUACGGUUCUCCUCCUCCUCACCACUACUAAGCAAGUGCAUCUAAGUUUUGAGGUAAUAAUACCGAUCCAAAACUUUAUCAACGCAAACUGCCAUGUAUAUCAUGCUAAGGACGUACACUUGAUCCAUGAAAAUGGCUAGUAGAAGAUUUUUUUUAAGAACCAGAGAAAUACAUUAUUUUUUCGCUCUGUUUUCAAGAAUUUGAGCAGUAUACAGAUUAAAGAGUGUUUUUUUUAAACUUGCUUAUCAACUUAGAAAUGCACAUAGCUGAAAGCCAACUGAAUAUUUGCAGGCAAAGGAGAAGGCAAUCGGUGUUUGAGACCUUCAUGAAGAUGUAGAAGAAUAAGAAUAAAAGCCCAAUGCGAGGAUGAUU